UUUGUCGACGAAUUUGAUAUUCUUUUACAAAAUAUACUUAUCUUAAUAUGUAUAACCGGAGUUUAUAUUACAUGCCCCUCUCCCAACGAUAGUUGUAGUACUCUUAUAAUAGUAGUACUCAUGAAUACAGUUAAUCCGGGUUGUUGGGAGAGAUCACAUGCAUAAAUACAACAUGAAACAAACGUGUGAAAAAGGUACAUAAAAUCGGUGUGACCCGUUCUUGUAUUAUAAGAAAUCAACUUGCUUAGGCCUUGCCGGACUCCUCACAACCCGGUGGCUUGAAGGCGAUGAAGCUGAUGCACUGCACUUGCCUGGUGUUGUCGAAGCCGAUGAUGCGGACAUAGGCGUCAGGGUACUCCUUCUUCACCUCCUCCAGCUCCUUUAGCACCUGCGUGGCGUCGGUGCACCCGAACAUGGGAAGCUUCCACAUUGUCCAGUACCUGCCGUCGUAGUACCCGGGAGAGUUGCCGUGCUCACGGAAGACGAAACCGACCUUGCUGAACUCGAGGCAAGGAACCCACUUGGAGCGGAUGAGAUACUCGAUCUGCUUCAAGAGGGACUCCACGGUGAGAGGCGGCAGGUAGGAAAGGGUUUCGAACUUCUUGAUGCCCUCAAUUGGCCACACCUACAAUUAGAUUAAUAAUUAGCACCGAAAGUAUAAUUUGAGACACAUAUCAGUAUUUCACUUCAACAUAUGUACAUGAUGACAUACAUACCUGCAUGCACCUGAUCCUUCCACCGUUGGAGACGCUGCCGAGACCAGCGCUGGCUGAGCGGCGGCCGAUGGGGAGCCCGGCGGUGGACUUGAGGCCCUGGAAAGGAGCAACGGCAGUAGCCGCUGACGACAUCACUGUGGGAGCCAUCGUACACGUACGUAGAUAGCUAACAAGAGGAGGCAGGCUUGCUUGAGUGCUCUCUAGCUACAGCGGCUUAUAUAACUGUAGGCUCCCCACCCAUCCAAUAUCAGCACAAGAUCUAGGAGGGGUGGCUGCAGUUCGCCGCGCGGAUUUGCCCAGGCCACGCUGGCAUCCUACGGAUCAGGUCGGGCGCCACAUGGCCGCACGAAAUGGCGCGCGUUAUCCUCUGGACGGAUACAAUUGGCUGCAACGCACUCUGCAAAUCAUGCCAUGAAGUGACCAAUUUUCACCUAUCAGGAUAGAUCCAAUGUGCCACGGCAUGCACUCAAAAACAGAACUUGCUAAUCCCUCCAAUCCAUAAAAAAUCUCGCCCACUUAUUAGAAAAUUUGUAAUGAGUUAAUGCAAAAUGAGCAGCACUUUUUAUGAACUAGAGGAACAACAAAUUAAGAGAAACUCUUCUAAGAUCUUAUCGAGAACGAAGCUUGCCCCCGCGUCGCUCAGUCUGGGGCGACACGGGCGGCAACCACACCAGCCCCGGCAGCAGCCUCUCCCCGUCCUCUCCUCCCCCUCGCCGCCGCCGGGCAAAGCCCGCACGGGGACGGCGGCGGCGGGGCUGUUUUUCUUGGCGGGGGUGUCCUAGAGCUCUUGGCUGAGGCGUUUGAGGUGCUGCCUCAUCGUGGUCGCGGCGUCUCCGGCCCGAUCCGGCAGGCUAUGCCUCGUCUUCGGCUAGAUCCGGCCGGCUUCCUCCCGGAUCCGGUGUUUCCCCUCGUUCUUCCUCUCCCUGGUGCUCGGUCUGCUCGUGGCUGCGCGGCUUCACGGCGGCGCUCUUCGGCCGGAUCUAGCUACUCGUUGGCCAGAUCCGUCAUCUCCUCCGGCUGAUCCGGCAUGUCCCAGGUCUCUUCGUUUCCAUCAUUUUUCCUCUCAGUUUGGUGAGGCGGCUGAUUGAACUUCACCGGCGGCAGAUGGGCUGCUGCUGCGGCCAUACAUGGUCCAAGUCGGUCCUUUUCGAUGCCAUGGUGGCGUGGUUUUCAUUUUCGGUCGCGUCUUCGGCUGCUGCCCGUGUGCGAGGUAUGGACGUCGGCUCCGGUGUUUGGAGUGUUGCUCUGGAUGAAAACUGCCCGUGUGCGAGGUAUGCCGAAGACAACGAUGUUGUAGCGCCGUUUUCCUUCUUGGAGGUGUCGUCGAAGAGCUUCACUUUCCCUCACUUUGAUGUUUGGUGUCUUCGGGUGAAAACCUAAGAUUUGGCUAUGGCCAGAUCGGGCGACAACGGCGUUUUUACGUCGAUUUCCUCCUUGGGGGCGUUGUCAUGGAGACAACGACUCUUGGUGGCAUCGGGUGGUGUGGUCCGUCUAUGGUGGAGCUUGUUGUCUCGAGUUGUUGAAGGUUUGGUGGUGUCUCUUCUUGUGUCAUGUGUUAGCUUAGGCUGUCGGUUUGUGUCCGGCGAGAACGUGCGUUUCUUAUCCUUUGGUGCGGUUUCGGCAUGUGAUGCCUUUCGUCUUCACUAUCGUCACGUAGGUGUCGUGUUGUAUUCUCGGUGGUGUGUGGUCUUUCGGCUUAGCCAACGGCAAGUGGAGGUAUGAUCUCGGUUGUGUAUUGCCCUUCGACUUCAUCGGCGGCACAUCGGCGUCGCGGUGGGUCUCAGUGACGCGCAGCCCUUCGACUCUGCCGGCUACGUAGGUGUCAUGGUGCGGCCUUGACCCUGUGCUUCCCUUCAGCUACGGCGACGACAUAGUGUCUGGGUGGGCUCGUCAGAUCGACGCCUUUCGACUACAUCAACUAUGCUCUUCAUUGUGCAUUUAUUUUGCCAUUGACAUGUUUCAAGAGUCUAGGUUUUUUCCUUGUGUUUCUUUUAGCAAAUGCUGUUCUGCAGGCUGGCUUUUGCCCACCCGAUCAGAAAAGAAAAACAAAUUAAAGGCUAAAAUCAAGCGAUGUUAUAUUCCCUUAGCUAUUACAAAUAUGGAUGAUAAGAGUUAUUUAUCCUUUUUCAACGAGUAACCCUUUACUUGGAAGUUCCAUGUGCAUGGCGCUGCAAGAAAACAAACAUCAUAAUGGGGCAAGACUUUUUUUUUUAUAAACAUCCAAUUUGGGUUAAAGUCUGAAAGAAUUUGGCUAUCUGAACUUUCAGUUUCCACAUUCUUUUACCUACUCAAUUCUUCAGCCAACAGGAUCAAUGGCGACCUACUAACACCAACCAGAACACAUGGGUCACAAACACGAAAAAGGGCUAGAAGGCUACUUAUACACACUCAUGUGUACUGCGAGCAAAAGAACAUAAUGUACAAAACUUUACAAAAUCUAGGGAAUUAAGACCUUCCCGUAUGCUGUUGCUGCCGCUGCUGCUUCAUGCUGGCUCUCCUGGCAACAUCCCAUGGUUUGUGAGGCACACCUACACCUUGCUGGGAUGCGAAGAACGACUCGUAUCCCGGGGAGUCGAAAGCAAAACCAGUGUGCUUGGAGUUCUCUCGAGGGAGCAUGGAGAUCGCAUAGCUUCUUGCUUCUUCUGGGCUCAAAUGGCUCCUCUCAGGCAGAUGUAUCAUGCUGUAUUCGUGGGGGUCAUCCUUGUGCAUCUCCUGGAUUACUUGGUAGUCAUAGGGAAAGAGCCAUCUUUGGAGCCUGAGAAAGCACACAGCAUCAAAGACAACAAUUGAUUCAGCUACUUCAGUAUGUACAAUGGAAGGAAUAACAAACGGAUGGCAUUAACAAACAUAUAAUUUUGCAAAAGAGCUGGUAUCUUACGAUAGAUACAGGAAAUCACCAAAGAGAGCGAUGACUGGAGCAAGCAUUAGUGUGAGGUAGAAGAAAAAGGUACUCAUCAGAACAUAAAUCACAAAAUAUACAUUUUCCUGCACAAGGUACACAGCAUUAAGUCAAUGCAUUUGUAGCAAGUAAUCGUCAUCAGCAGUGUAAUAGCUACAUUAUUCACCCACCUGUCGGUCAAAUGAUGUCAUUAUCGCAGAAUAUAUGAAGAUAAACAGAAACCAGGCCGCUAUACUGCCAGCUACGCUGAAAUAAUGCCAUCUCGUGAUAGAAUUGCACGACAUGAGGAGACGUAGAUUAACAGUCACCACAACACAAGUAAAGGCCAUCGUGCUAACAUCCCAUUGACCAAGAAUCUUGCCAGAUGAACCGUGACCAUGCUGACUUGCAGCUGCAGUAAAGUAAUAGAACACUAUUGACUGGUAGAAGGCAAAGAAACCCCACACCGCAAUCACUUUCCACCGGAAGAAUGUGUUCCUAAUUCCUUCUUGGUAAAGUUGUGGGUAUUUUUUUGAUAGAGAUGCACUCACAUCCUGAAAGGGUUCAGUUUAGUGAAUGUAGCAAGGAGCGUCACUCCAGAACAAGAAAAGUAGAACAAAUACAAGCAACCAUACCUUAUCAAACAACCCAACCAUAAUUACAGGUAGUGCCGUGAAAAUGACAUUAUACAGAGACUGGAACCAGUCAUCAUAAAAUCGCUGACCAGAAAAGCCAGUUUGGAAAGUGAACCAGAACUGAGUUAGUGUAAAAGUCAGAUUCUUGUAGAAGAAGUAUGUGAUAACCUGAAACAGAAAGUGUCAAUGUUAAAAAAAUUAAACUACACAGAUUGGCAGCUACAAGCUAAGGGACCAAAGCAUACCUUGCACAAUCUCAAGUAUGACCACCGCCCAUGUACAAGAAGUAAAUCCGUAAGAUAUCGAAACUGAGCAAUGGCAAAAUCACUCGCCAUAACAGCUUGCAUUCCUUCUUGUCCGCUGAUGCCAAUACCAACAUGAGCAGCUUGAAUCAUACUCACAUCAUUAGCACCAUCACCAAUACUGAGAGUUAUCUUACGUGCACCUUUCCUAACUAAACUUGCAACCUACAAAUGUGUCAACAUUACAUGUUUUGGCAUCAUUCGAACCCAACAGGUUAUUAGGAAAUAAAUCCAAAAAUAAGAGACUUUGAGAUUGCUGAUGGGAUGGGUAACAACCAAAUAAGCACAUAUACAAUAAGUUAAUUAAUACUACCUUUGUUUCAAAAUAUUAUACCAAAACGUCUUAUAUUUUGAAACAGAGAUAGUACUUAUAGUACAAGAGUGUACAGGACAUUUAGUUAAGAGGCCAAAACUAGAAUAGCAAAAGCAACCAAUGCACAGUGGUUAAUAAUGAUCUUGUGAAUCAUGCACAAACUAUUUUGUUGUCAAGGUACAAAAUUGGAUCCUUUAAAAUGUAAUAAUAUCAAUAUCCCCCGUUUAUUGCCCAAGCAUCCUGAAAGGCAUGCAGCUGAGAGCUGCAGACCAUACUGCUAAUUAUUUCAUGGGAAAAGGCAAGGCAUGCAUGAUAAGAACGCUAAAAGCGAGAAUUGAUAUUUACCUGUGCCUUUUGCAGUGGAGAAACUCGACAACAUACAACUGAUUGGCAAAUUAAACUCAAACCAAGAAGAUUCACACGCAGAGCUGGGUCUAGAGCGUACAUCAAGCAUCGUCCAUCAAUAAUGAAAGCCAACUUUCGUCCUGGCGUGCUCCUCAAAGAACGGUGGGCUUCCUCAAGGUAACUUCUCAGACUCUGUUUUACCGAGUCUUUGAUAACACGUGCAAUUUCCACAGGGUCUCCCUGAAAAUGACUGGAACAUUAUUCAUGGCAAAGAUAUGUGCAUAAGUUGAUUUACAUCAAUCAGAUACAAAUGCUAAAUUGCUAAUUAUGGUUGAUCAAACUGCAAAACACACGAGAUAUCCAAAAGGCUAUAUAAACAUGAUGGAGAGGCUAAAGCACUGAAACAACAGAAUCAACAUAAAGUAUUUUGUACUAUUAUGCAACUAAGCCUUUUGUCCCAAGCAAGUUGGGGCAGGCUAGAUAUGAAACCCAAACAGAAACUAAAGCAAAGUGCAGGUAACAAAAGAGCAAGAGAGUAAAUCAAGGUUCAGGCACAUGGACUGCUGAUUUCCAUGCAGCCCUAUCAAAAGCAAAAUCUCUAGAUACAUUCCAGUCCUUCAAGUCCCUUUAACUGCCUCCUACCAAAAGCAAAUAUCAUAGUAAUCCACCAACCAAAGUAACAAGGGAACUACUUGUAACUUCUUAGUUCACAAGUACAUACCAGUUGAGCUAUCCAAUUAUUCUAAAUAAUAUGGUUUGAUACCUUUACCAAAGUCUCAACUUGUAUUCAUUUUAAAGCUUAUACAAGAUAUUAUAUGUUAUGGCUUAACAGUCUCCAUGACACAAUAUGGCUUGACUUCACAGUUUAAUUCUAUAGGAUUAUCUUACCCUGUCUUCAGCAUCUCUAAUUGCAUCUGUCUCAGAAGUGAUGAUGAAUUGUUUUGUAUCGUUAUUCACCAGGCUGCACGCUGCAGAGCAAAAACUAAAUAACUUCAGAAGCUUUUCUAUGUCAGGUGAAAGAGAGAGAAAAAGACCGCCCGCCCCCCACCAAUAAUCCAAAACUGAGCUUCUAUUAGACCCCUUAAGAACGAAACAAGCAUGCAAAUUGAUCUAUAUAUAAUUAAAACCUCACCAUAUGCUAUAUUAAUUGCUGUUUCCAUUUUAUCUCCAGUUAGCACCCAAAUUUUUAUGCCAGCUGCAGAAAGAGUUUCAAUGCAGGCUGGAACCCCUUCUUGCAGUUUGUCUUCUAUUGCAGUGCACCCUAUCAAUAUAAGGUCCUUUUCAAUCAACUCAGCCACCUACAGGGGAAGAAACAGAAGGAAAUUAUAUGGCAAUGUCCCAGCAAUAUCUUAAAUCAGAAUAUACAUUAAGUCUAUUACUUCAAAUUCCUUUUUCCUAGAAAUCACAGUGAACUUAGUACAUGAAAGAAUGAAAGGAUAAUGCUUUUCUAAUGGGGAUUUGAAAAAACAUCAUAAAAAUAAUAAUAUAAAGUACUGUAUGUUCUUGUUCUAGAUAAAUUACAAAUAUCUUUUGCUCAUGAUCCUCUUUCCUGACUAAAAAAUAUAUAUUAUUAUGUAAAAUACUAAUGUUCUAUGGCAGUACAAGAUAAUAAAUUAGCACAAAAAACUAUUAAACUGCAAAUGUCAGCUGUUAGGGAUGGAUGACAUGACUCCUGUAGUUUUGGGGGGAGAGAGAGAGGAGACACACUGAACAAAUUACUUCCUUCGUCUCCAAAGAUUGCCAUGCCACAUUCUAUUCGGUCAGUCAACCUUUUACAACUUCAAAAUUAACAAUUAUAAGUGAAUUGAAUUACUACAUGAAAAAUAACAGCACUCAAUUUGCUUGCAUAAUAAUUUGUACGCAAAACUUUUGCUUGUAUAUUAGCAUAGAAAUCAUAGCCAGAGUUUUAUGUUGGGAGAAUAUAAAAUUAAAAAAUGGCCUACAUUUGUCAGGUACAUUCAGUUAAUUGUUUCCAAAACCAAAUUAAUUUUCAUACAUAAAUACCAAACGGAUCAAUAGCAUGCUCAACAGUGCACAUGAGACUCGAGUUCAGUACUGGAUGACAGAAAGUAAAAAAAAUCAGGCAAGCACUAGAAGGUGGAGGGGAAGUAAUCGAAAUUCAAAUCACAGGGACUGUUCAGCCUGUAUACUCAACAGAAGAGGAUGGUACACAUACCUCAUCAAGCUUCUUAUCACGAUCUCGUAAAGAAGAUUUAGCUUGAACAAACUUCUCAUUCCAGCUUUCGUACUGCUCCCUGCUUAGAUCUCGAUAAGCAAGGCAAAGCGUGCGCAAGCCAGCAGAGCCAAAUUGUUCUAGAUGUUCUCUGCUUGUCUUUUUAAUGUCAUGAUUUCCAUCAGCUAACCGUUCAAAAAUGACAUUAUCAGCGCCCUGUUACACAACAUUUGUAUAAGGUUAGUGCAUCAAUCUACAAAGUGAUAGCUACAUAAAGAUUCUUUUUUCUUGUAUUACCUUGCAAUACAGAACAAGUUUUCCAUUUGGGAAACGGCAAACCACAGAUUGGCGCUUUCUUGUACUGUGAGUGCAGUAAAGUGUGAAGUGCAGAACAAUGAUUUCAUCUUGUCAAAUUUAAAUUGAAAACAGAUAAACCAGACCUGUUGAAUUCCAAAACAUUCAGAAUUUCAUAUGCAACAUCUUGUAUACUCCCCAUCCUCUCAACAUGUGAUUCCCGAACCAAGACUGUGGUUGGCGUACGUCUACAAGACAGGCACAAAAUGUCAACCACCGGCAUUGCCAUUCACAAUAAAAAUGCCACAUGAAAUAAUUUGCAACAAAAAUCAUAAGAACUUAGAUGAGUUCAUGUUCACAGCACUUGCUUUAACACUUGUCUUAAUUUACAACGGCAAUUUUUUGUUGAUGGGCUAAUAGUUUAUUUAUGCUUCUUAGUAUGUACAUUCAGUCCUUCAUACAACAAACUAUAUAAGCAAUAACCUGGGUGAGUGACUCUUUUAUGCACAUUUUCCUUGGGACCAUAGCAUAGUUUUUUAAGAUACCUUGUUUGCAACAAACUGAUAAGAGGAAUCUAUAACUGUAUUUAAAGGCAAGGUAAGACAUGCCUAUAAAAGAAGAAACCAAAAUUCUUCGCAGCAGCGACAAGCGCGGCCUCGUCGGGAGAGGCAGCUUGAUAAGUAAUCUUUUCCGGUGUCUCCUCACCCUCAGGAAGAACUGUAUGACAGAUUGCAAGGCAUCUGCAGAAUUGCUAUAGAGCAAAUAACAAAGUUGUUACACAACUAGCACAUUAACAAGGGAAAAUGUGAAAAAGGAAAAUAGGUUCCAAAUUUUAUUAGUAAGGGCAUAUAUCGUGAUAUGUGAAUAAUUUGUGUCAACUAAAUCAAAACUGAUUAUGACCAAAGGGGAACCAAUCGAACUAUUCCACAGGUAGUCCCGUAUUUACCACGCAAGCAUCAGGAUUAGGUUCAUUUCUCCAUGCACCACGCAUUAUUCUAGCAUCAUCAAAGUUGAAUCCUUUCUCAUGAACUGCAGUGGCUGAUCUUUUACCCUAAAAAAGGCAAGUAAACUGGAUAUUAAAUCAGUUGUGCAUUAAAUUUUUCAUCAUAUACCACCACACUUCAAUAGCGUAAACAACAAAGAAAAUGUUGUAGACCUCAUCAUCAUCAAUCUUGACUCCGGCUCGCUCGGCUCCUCCUUUUUCAAUCUCUGUGAUGCCAGUUCCAUAUAUUUCCCCUCCAAUCGAACAUUUAAAGAAUUCCAUCAAGUUUCUUGUAAGUGUUCCAGUUUUGUCAGAAAAUAUAUACUCAACCUGAACCAUUAGUGGGGCAAAAAAAAUUUGGCAGAAAUGUCAAAUUAUUUGCAAGUGUUAAGUGCAUUUUAGUACCACUCGGCAUUUGUUCAGUCAUAUAAGCAUUUCUGGGGAUCUAGAACAGUUUUUCGGUGGGAGUAAGUCACUUAAUAUUAGUGAAAUGAGACUGUUCCCCAAGUGCUUAUAAUUGAUCCCACUUUCUGGAAUGAGUCGGUGCAGUGAGGUCAUUCUAUCCAUUAACCAAACCCAGCCAUAUAGGUCAAAUAAGUAAAUAACCCCAUUUCAGCAACAAACAAAGGGGCUUUCAUCAAACUAAACAGAAUGCUAAGGAACAAAAAAAAAACUGAUAUUACCUGCCCAAGCUCCUCAUUCAGAUUAGAAGUCCGAGCCAAAGCUGGGGUGUUGCUCUCGGCAUGAUACAUAUUCAGAUCAUUGUUAAUAAACUUUGCACACUGAAUGAAUUUGAUCAUCUGCCAGCCAAAAUAAACAUAAGGUCCAAUCCAAAUACAGGGUACACUAAAUGAUAAAUUGGUCAAUAUACCUCAAUGGAUACAUAAAGAGAAAUGGGGAUGAUCGUUGAGUAUAGAGUUAUUAGAGUAAACAUAGUUAAAAUGGUCACCUGCAAAAGUACAAACCUAUGAUAUAAGGCCACUUAGAGAAUAUUCUCUACAAUAAAUUAACUAAAAUAAUAUAUACCACAAAUCUGUUCUUGGGAUUAAACUGGUCCUCGACACGCCCACGCAAUCCAAGAUAGAAGUAUUUCUCAUUAAUAAACACGCCACUGUUCACAAAAGCCAAGUAUGAUGAGUCCAUUGGUAGAGUUUUAGGUUUCUAAAGAACGUGCAAGCUAAGCAGUCAUAGUUACCAAAAUCUAUAUGCUGAACAGAGCACUUCCAUUUCUGACCAUCUAGAAAGUGCCCUAUUAUGUACCUCCCACAUAAAACCACUAAGAAAAAAGAUAAGGCUAUUAAGACCUAGUCAUGUGCUCAUCUAUACUGCUCCUAUGCCACAAUAAAAAAAUAACUUCCCCAAACAAGCUCCUGACAACUCAUGUCAUAAUGUUUAAAGUUUAUCUCUCUAUUAACAGUUGUUUUUUCAUGAUCAAUUAAAUUGUGAAAAAUGAUUGUGCAAGCAUAAGCCUCCACAACAUCAACCUAACCGAUAUAACUCAUGUUCAGAGAAUAUACAUGUAAACAAUAAUACAAGAUAGAUAAGUCAAAUAAAUGAAGUGGGCCAAAUAAAACACUGACCUUCCAAUAGCACCAAUGACACACAUCGUAAAGAGGGUUGCAAAUAGAGCAAGAAUAAGCUUGUCUAGUUUCUUCUCCAAUGUACUUCUUUUAGAGGGAACAUUCAUAGAAUUCAUCAUAACCUGCAAUAGUGUCCCACUGCAGUAAAUCUCAAAACUAGAAGCACAUCUAACCUACAAGUUGAAUAUAUAGGGACACAAAAUUGCACAUACUUUCGUCUCAUGGCCCGUGAAUAUAACAGCCGCGACAAUGUACUCUGUAUUACGAAGGCUGCAUCCCUGUGGCAAAGUGGUAAUAAGAGGUUGCAUGUGUGCCACAUAAAGAGAGAGAAUUAAGUGUCAUGCAAGACACCGUUCAGUCUGGUGAAAGUAAACAUUUCUUUUGCACUUUACAAACAUUGCUUCAACCCUUCACCACUUAUCCUACAUAUGGGACUAGAGAAGAAAUGGAAGUUGUUUAUAUGAAUGUUAAACAUUUCCAAAUUGUUUAUAUCAUAGCUAUCCUUGUUUGCAAACCAAUAAGAACAAUAUUAUUAUAGAGGUGUUUUAUGAUGAAAAUUUCUGCUGGUGACAUUUGGGUGUCGUCAAUAUUGGUAUUUGGAGGAGAUGUUGGUGAUCAAAGUUAAAGGCCGAGUAAAGGCAUCACGCUAUGAUGUUAUUUUUUACCUGAGGGAUUUUCUUAACAAACUCAUGCUAAAUCUAGAACAUGCAAACAACUUUGCAGGUGGACAAUCUUGUAAAGAAAUUUCAAGGGCAUGUUUGUGUGAGGGGUAUUACUUUGGUACGUGUUGGUAACUACAUACCUAAUUGUUACAAGAAAAAUCUCAUCCAAACAAGCCCUAAGGACAUUAUGGACCUUGCUACUGCAAAGUUGGUAAGUCGAAAAUACGACAGGAUGUCUGAUUGAUAUGUAGGACCUGGACCCACAUGUCAUUCUCACAGCGAGUCGCACUAUUUCAAAUGUCAACUUUGUGGUGGCAUGGUUUCAAUUUUCCCAAUAAGAAACUAGAUACAAAUAGCAUAGAUGAACAGCACUUACCCUUAGUAGUAUUUGAUUUGGUGAAAUUGGUAUAGUUUGCUUGUCCACAAUAAGGUUCCCGGUAAAUGUAUAAAGUGAAUUGUUUGGCUGUUCGCAUUGUAUUUCACCUGUAAGCCAUGAAACAUACAGAUAAUGUGAAGUUAAGAAAAUGUAGAAUAGUUAAGUGAAGUUCAGAAAAGGAGCAAUGCUUCCUACACCAACUACCGAAAAAUGUCUGCAACAUGGAACAAGAAUAGAUAAAAACCUUUGAAUUCAGAAGCCUUUUCAGGAAUUACGCAGUCCCAGGUUUUCUCCAAAGCCUUCCUUAUUUUCAGGUUAGUUUCCCCAUCAAGAUUUGCUGUCUAAGGUAAAUAGAAGUAUGAUACACUUCAAUUAAAACAGAGUUUCUCUAAAUCAUUCAAUAAUUUCAAUUUGGACAAAAGAUGGAGAAGGUAAGAAUGAAUAUAUUGACCUCUAUGUAGCAGACACCAUCAGGGUUCGUACUUGAUAGGAAGAGCAAGUCAGAAGGAAAGUAAGUGUCUUGCUUGAUCUGCUCUAAAGAAGUGCCAUCACUAUUAGUCUUUUUGGAUAUGUGUAUCGAGCUGAAGAUUAAAUUUGCACAGCACAAAAGAUCAAGUGCAUUAAUUUGUGGAAGCAACAGAUCAAUUGAAUUGAUCAUCAAAUUGCUAUCAGGAAAGAUGAAGACAUUACCCUCACAAUAUCUCCAACCUGCAGUCUUUUCCAAGGGGCACUUUCCCAUUUUUGACCUUGCAAUACAUCGACGUGCGCAUUAUUAAUUGACAUGUCAUUCUGGAAACGUUUCUGUAUAAUGGGAGGCAAACAAAAAGGGAAGAAUAUCAGAUAACAUUAAGAAUAGCAAUAAAAUAGUGGAGCAACAGAGCAUGAGAGCAAUACUAACCCAGUCCUCAAAAGCUUCCUUGAUGAGUGAAACCAAAAGCACUAAACUAAGUGGAACCACAUUGGUGACAGGGUGGACUGGACUGCGAAGAUACAAGCAUGUAUGAACUAAGAUUUCUAGAAGUAAAGGUGAAGGAAAGCAAAGGAUGACUGAAUCAACUGAUGGACUUGAUAUGCUAAGAAGUGUCUAGCUGUAACAUGAGAAUUCCAUAGGGUGCAUGCAUGAGAGAGAGAGAGAGACCUAAUUGGUGUAGUCGACAAGAUUGAAAUCAUAAGAAAGUAAAGAUUUGCCACCCGUCUGAACUGUCAAAGCAAAAAAAAAAACAAAUGAAUUACAAAAGGUUCCUAUGGUCAAAUUGCGAUAAUACAGAAAGGGAACAUCUAAAUCGGUGUUACAGCUACCAUUGCAAAGUUUCUUUAUUCGAUAUGGAAAAAUGCAUUACAUGUUUAAUGUAUGAAGCCAUUGAAAUACUUUAAUGUACCUUACGUAAAAAACAGUGGAUAAUGAAAUUGCCAGAAUUAUGGUAUCGCAUAAAAUGAAGGUUACAUUGAGCGAAAAGCAUGAUCAGGGCUUUACCAAAUAACAAAAUCAUACUUCUCCUUUUCUCAAUAUAUGGCAUUUUAGGUUUCAUUGAAGACAAGUCUUUGAAAAGGAUUUACUUUGUGUUGUUUUUAAGGCAUGAAAUUUAUAUCACUAGAUUCAUCCUCAAAAGUACUUAAUGUGGAUUCAUAUCAUAUAAAUCACAUAUUAAUGAAGUAAUUCUUGGUCAAAGUCUUGUAUUAACGAAACCUAAUAUGUCCUGUAUUGACAAAAUGAGGGAGUAUAUUAUCUAACAGUGCAUGUAUACAGGCACGAUACUGGUAGCGCGUAUUACAAGCAAGGUAUCUUAAAAACAUUGCAACACAGUGCCAGACCAGGUAAGCAACUAAGCAUCUCAUGUAUCCACUAUUUUAAGGGAAGUUGAUCCAGAGUGAGGAAAUAAACAUUUUUAAGGAGAUAUAUCAAUUUGCAAUGUGAAAAUGAUACGGAGUAGUAUAAUCAUUUCACUGUGAUAACAAAUACUCCCUCCGUUCUAAAUACUUGUCGCUGUUUUAGUGCAAACUAAAACAGCGACAAGUAUUUAGGAACAGAGGGAGUAACUUCCAUUUACCGUUAGACAUGAUACAAAAUAAUAUGUUGAAAAAAAAUCUAGCCAAAAACUAAAAAACAAACAGAAAAUCUGCAUUAAACGAUGACAAACCCAGCAGGUAUGUUGAUUAACAAAAUAUGUAUGAACAAAAAACAACGCAUCAAUACCUGUUCAAACAAUCCUUUAGGUAGAAAUGUCAGCACACUGUACUUUGUAGUCGACACAGAAUUUCCCUGGAAAUGUAGAAUGAGAAUGUUAAAGAACUAAUUCUAGCAGAAAAACAAAGUAGCGCUCUGCAUUAGAAUCGCGAUGGUCUGAUACCCAACAUGAGGGAGAUUCUGAAACUAAACAGAAGAGCUAAUUGCAACUAGAAGCAUGAAAAAAGUAUAGCUUGAUCUUUUUACAACAUCAAGUCUGAAUACAUUCAAGCAUUUACACUAACUUGGAACAAAAUGUGGGUGUCAAAGAAAAUGCAUGAAUACACCUACUUACAAUAAAGCACCAAUUUUGCAGUGAUUGGACAAACUAUGGUUAAAAUACUUAAUAAUAGAGUUCUACGUAUUUGGAGGCAUAAAACGCAUUGCAGUUGGAGCAGUGGCAUUAUCAUGUUAGUCAGUCUAACAUGGCAGUGAAUGACGUGAAUUUUUUGCUAGUUUAGACCUCUGGCCAGCGCAAUUGACAAAAAUGCCCCCCUCUCAAAACUAAUGCCAAAAAUGGUCUGGCAGAAGGCCCGAAAGGCGCCACAUUUCAUUUUUCGCCAUCUGAGCUGCGCAUGCAAACAUUCCGACAACCUGAAAGGCGGAAAGGCCGUUCCGCCUACUGCAUUUGAUGAAUGCACCUGACAAGGGCGGAAGGUGAACUGGGCCCUGCAGAUGGAAGCAAUUUCCACAUUUGUUACAGACCUGGAAUCUUUUUUUUUGUUGGAGUCGACGGACCAUGUAUGUGCGGAUGCAUAGGAAUCGGCAAGCAGCCUAGCUGCUAGUUCACGGGCACGUUUUACAUUUUCUUUCCUCAGGUUUGGCUAGUGCUACCACGUUGAUACUAAUCAACGCUUCUUGUGAAUGGGCUUAGUUGCUUCUACUAGUCGUGCGAGCGUUAAUCUUUUCUCUGUGCGCCUGCAUGUGCGGGCGUGGGAAUCGGGUCAGGUCCCUGCAGACAGCACGCCUGGCUGCACUGGGCCUGCUUCAGCUUCCGCCCCUGAAAAUUCACUUUCGUCCAUUUCAACUGGAAACAAGUAGGCUCCACCUGUCCUGUUGGCGGAAAGUUCAUUCCUCCUACCCAGUGGCCACUGGGUCAGUUGCUGGGCUUUCCACCACGUCAUUUUUCAAAUUAUAUUUCAGAUGGAGCUAUUUUUGCCAAUUCCGUUUGACAAGGGGCUACAAGAGCAAAGAAAUUGAAUGACAUAGCAAGCAAUCAAUUUCCCCUUAUAGGUAAAUAAUAAACAGCUUUGCUUCAGCUUACUGUCAUCAGCUGGUGGCUGACUGCCCUGACCAAACACAAGUUCAGUAAUCUACACAGCAAGCGGCACACAGGUGCAGCUAAGCACAUGGAUGAACAGAAUAUUCCAGCCAUUGAGGCUCAGCUCUCGAAGCUUAAUGCCAGGUGGCAUCUACAUUGUAUUGCAGCCCGUAGCACCCUGAUUGACUAGUAACCCAACAAUGAGACAAGCUCUAAUCCACCCAAUGACCUCACAGUUGGCAAGAAAUGCAGCCCUUAGUGACACGCACCACCCUACAUAACUUUCUCGUGGACUAAUCAGUAUGAAUCAUAUAAACCCUCUGCAAGCUGCAGUGAAAUAAAACUACUACUACUGAACUAGCUAUUGUCCCAGAUGGCCAUCUCCAACCCAACCGCCCAAGCAUGAAACAAGGGGCCAGUUACGAGAUCUAGGCCUACAGACCCCUAGACCUUGAGACAACCGACCUGUUGAUCAUCCGAAUUAGAGGAGGAGGUGCACACCCGUACCUUGUACCCGACCGGCGCGUUGGCUUCGCGGUCGUUGCAGUAGAUGGUGCGCACGGUGGGUGCCUGCGGCUGCGGCUGCCGUCGGAGGCUGCCGCCCCCGCCGCCGAGACGCGCCGUCCUGGACGCCUCAGCGCGGCCGGCCUGAGAGGUCCCCCCCCGCGGCGACUGCUCGCCGCCCAGCCGCGCGGUGGCAACCCGCAUCAUCUCCUUUAUGCGCGAGCUCAUCCUGCCCCCCUCAGCGCCAAACCCAGCGCUGGAGGAGCCGGCGGGAGAUCUGGGGAAACCUCACGGUGGAUCGGAGGGGAGACCUAGUCGGAUUUGCGCGGCUUUCUGGUGGAUUUCAGUGCCUCGCUGAGGAGGGGAUUCGAUUUGGGUCACGCGUUCCCGUAUGUGCGUAUUUUUUCCGUGUAAUUUUUUUGUUUUGCCUUUUUCUUUUCCUUUGGCUCCGGGAGAAGAGAAGACAGGAGGGGAAGGAAAAGCGAAGGUCGCGACUUCGCGAGGAAGAAAAUGAAGGGAUUACUGCAGAUCACACCCUUGAUUAUUUUCGAAUAUGGAAAGCUCCAGUAACUGAAGUUUGAAAUUCCAGCCGCGUUUGUCUUUUCCUUCUUCGAGCAAACAACCGUGUUCUUGACUUGUUCUAUGUUUUUGCUGUCCGGAGGACUACCCGAUUUGCAAGUAAAUAAUGGCAUUAAUUUCAUAUAAGCACUUUAGGACACCACACUUGACAUGGUUUUCUACUGACGACGACUAUAUGGUGGCUUUGAUGUUCCAUGAAUAGAUCUUUUUAGCGGUGUUUCAAGUUCAGGUGUUAUAACAAAGCAUUACUCUUGACCUAUCUUCCCUUGCGACCAUGCUUUUUGAAUCGCCAAGUCGAGUCGAAUCGCCCCCCAACAGACUUGGAGGUUAGUAUGAUUAGUCAGAAACUAGUCUCGACUAAUCAACCCAAGUCGAGCCUAGUGAUCAGUGAGGUUUAGGGAGCUCUAGCAGGGAGCAUUAGAGGAAAGGAGUGAAUUGCAGUAGAGGGGAAGCACGAGGGAACAGUUUUUGUGGUGCUGGAGCUUGAAGAAGAGGUUCAUGGCGGCUAGGAUCUAGGAGUCGAUAAACUUAGAACGCCCGUGUUGAGGCAAACGCGUUGAGGAAGACGACUUCAAAGGUGGUUGGCUCAUUAUCAGGAUAGGUGCGUGCCUGGCAGCCCAUAAAGGCCUAUUAGAAAACCCUAACUCCCCCCUCCCCCCCCCCCCCACACACACAUUGCCUUCUUCUACACCACACACGCACCAAUGGCGGCCAUCUUCUUCCCCUUCCCUGCUGCUCCCCAUGCCUUCUCUCCCUCCCCGAAAAGAAAUAUCUUCCGAAAAUUCUUCUCUUCGAGUCAAGUUGAGGGGCUCGCGGCGUUCCUAGUCACGGCGGCUAGUCGGAGAAGUCGCGGUUCUAGCUGACGAGUCGCGCGACUUGCUCUGCUAGUCGAGUCGCGGCUGCAAGCCGCCAUCAUUGUGCUGGCUCGGCGACUAGUUGGCGAUUCAAAAACCAUGCUUGCGUCUUAUAAUUUUGUUUCCUCUUAGAUUUUUUUCAAUUAUGUAUGGAACUCUUUUAAGCUUGGCUAACAUAUUGGGUCAAUUUGUCUCCCAUUGAAAAAAAAACAAUUUCCUAUAAAAAAUAAAGUAUCCACAAAACAAUAUGCAUAGCGCAGUUGUUUUCAAAGUUGUGGAUGAAACUUUGUGUUGUACAGGCAACCACUUAAUAACUUGUUCGGUUGUAGAAUUCCCCGCAUGUAUUGAAGAGGAUUAAGAGAGAUCUAAGGAAAAUUGAUCUGCAAUUCGAUCAUUCCCUCUUAAUCCCCAUCGGAGUGGAAUCAACCGAACGGGGCUAAUGUGGACCAUAUCACCUUGAGGACUCCAUUCUUCUUUUAUGGCAACGUUGCAUGGACCUUGAUAUGAACGCACGUGCCUGCAAUCUCUAUUAUUUUUUCGUAAAUAGCAACUGUCCUUUCUGUAUCUUGUAAUAUGUUUUCUACAAUUUUAUUUGGGAUAUUUCGUCAAGAACCCAAAUCGAUUACAUUUUCCACUUUGGCGAAUGAGUCAAGAUUCUCCAUGUGUUCCAGCGAGGCAACUGCGAGCUACACAUGUAUGGUGAAACAAGCCUCGCAACUUCGUAAGUAACUCCAAAACUACAUCAGCACGUCUCUUGAACUUUGGAAACACACAGACGUGUUCCACGACCGUGAGGCGACGGAGUUAACGGGGCAGCGUUGCCGGAAAGACAAGAGUACCGUAACAAGGCCCAGACUGGGCUGCAUCGGCGUUCUGCCUCUAUUACAAGCGAGAGAUGUUGAACCGGCCAAGGUUAGGCAAGGCAGUCAGCGGGAGGAUUUUUUUUUUUUUGUUGUUGGUUUUGAAGAGGCGCGGGAGGAGAAGAACUUGCUUGACCAGCCCACAAGAUCGUGAACCGGUAUGACAUUGACAUUUUAUUUAGGGCCAGUAACGUGUAAUUAGAAGUACUAGCUUACAUCUCUUCCUUUUUGAACCGUCAGAUCUGCAACCAUAUCAUCUCUCCCCUUUGUCCUCUUCGCUAUGCCGAUUUUAGUGAAACGCCGCUGCCAAAUCUUCACAGGAUUGUGAACCGGCAGCAGCUUCGACCCUUCAAUAUUAUUAUUACAGCUAAAUAAAAGACUGAAAUUAUAGGUGAGGUCCUUUGUUCUAAUCGCCCAAGCGAGCAGAAGCCAAGAGAUUACGUGCAAGCAUAGCAUGGCCAUGUUCGCCAACUCAUGACAUAGUGGCACAGGGACUAACCACCUGGAUUACAUGGCUAGCUUCCAUAUAUGUGCAACAAAAUAUUGGUACCAGGCAGCCAUCUGUGCCACCAACCAUAAACUCCCUGAUCCCAAAAAAUACAAAAUACCAAGAGUUUCCACCCACAUCAGUACAAGUGCACAACAGUUUAAGAGACAAGCCAAGGAUCAUUCCCAGUUUGUGGGAAUAAAUAAGAGUCCGCAGCAAACAGAAAACUCAAAAUCGCUGGCAAAGUUAGGAUGUGGAAAAAAGAAAGGCUUAAAAUGAUCUAGCCAUGGCGUCAGAAUCUAUUAUCAAUGUUUCUCUCUCAAGGAUUUCCCUUCUAUAUAAAGUAUAAUAUUACAAAGGGGCUGCUUAAAUAUCAUGGACUCCUGGAAUGUAAAGAGGGUAAUAAUCAACACUACAUGAGCCUCCUUUUUCCUGAGGCUGCUUCCUAAGACUGACUGACUGCUUCCCCGAGGAUCCACAUACACCCUCCCCUCUCCUCAAGUUCCACCUCCCACCAUGGAAGUUAAACCCCCACCAUGGAUCCGAUGCUAACCAACUGUACGCGACCUGGAGAAAGUCAGUCAGCUUGGUGGUUCAAUCAAGACAGAGCAUCACGAUAUUGCCCAAAUGGUAUAAUUGGCAGGAUCAAUAAGUAGUUUAUGCUCGCAGCAAGAUCCAAAAGAACCAAUCUACCAUGACUAAUGUAUGACAAGAAUGAUGUCUUAUGUCUACUUUCAGAUACACUAUGGUCCAGGUGAAACAAUAUUUUAAAGUUUAGUAAUUACUGGCAGUAGUAGACAGACCACAGAAGUGUAAAGAUAUUUGCACACAUGACCUUUUAAUCCAAGGCUAACCCAACCUUGUAAGCUACGUGCUGUUUGUGCUAACGCUGCUGCUUGAAUGCAAUUAGACAGUGGUGAUGUCCUUGUUAGUCUGUUACAUACCUAAGGCAUCACCUCCUGAUUCUAGGUUUGCACCGGAACUCUGCUAAGAGCGCUAUGUGAUCUGAUGACCAUUCAGGUGAAGGAAGAGCAGUGUCUUUUCUUAAGCUCUCCUCAUCCAGAAGUUCCAACAAAGACUCCACGGUCAACGAAUCCGCUGAAACAAUAAAGGAAACAUGAUCAACUGACCAUAAUCAAACAUAUCACAAUACUACAAGCUGAUUCUGAAGCAAUUCCCAGAAGUCUAAAUACAGCAUACAGGUCAGGUACCUACCUGUGUAAAAUAUAUAAUCAACAGUUCCAGUGAAAUCCCUUGUGCAAUUUGUGAAAAGUGGUUCAUUUGUUCCUGGAUCCAUCCUCCUUCGCUGGUGCUCUAAAUCAUAGCCAACACCUACCAUUCUUGCAAAUGAAGAAUAUGCACUGACCUGCAAACAAGUAAACAUUGGUCAGAAUUUUAAAGGAAGAACAAGAUAGACAAGCUUGAUAGUUUUACUGUACCAGAGGAAGCUGGUGCGUCAACUUGCUCACGGGGCGUAAAAUUGAAAGUGGGUCUAUGGCCAGAUCUGGAUGCAAUUGAUCAACUUUGCCCACCGCAAGAAGCCCAUGUGGAGUACUGAAAGACAAAAGGAAGCACUUAGAGAUUUAAAGUUAGAAAAAACAAGUAAACCUGAAAAAUAUUGCUCCAAUAGAAUCUUGACAUGCACCUCCCCGGGAUUGAAUUGAAAUCCCCACAGACCAACAUUGGAAUGUCUGCACUGUUGGCUAUUUUCUCCAAUCCUUUUAGUAGUGUUUGAACCUGCAAAAAACAUACUUACUUUCGAUCUGAAUUUUUCAGAUGUUGCAGAAUGCUAGCCUACAGAGAAUGUGACAAUACUGACCUCCCAUAGUUUCACAUCUUUGAGGUCUUGGUGGACAUUUACAUGUGUAUUGGCCUGAAAUUUGAGAUCAUUUAAAAGAAUGAGACCUCCAUGACUCCAAGUAGCAUAAGCCUAGGCCGUAUGAACAAUGGGAAAUCUGUAGUAAAGUUGGCCUCAAAAUCUAGAGUCUAGAGAGCCAAGUCCCAAUCAUCCGCCAUUAACAUAUAGAUGUUUCCGUGCAUCUUAUGCUACUAAGGUCAUCCUACACAGAUAUAUGUUUCACUUCAUUCCUAAAUGUUGUGAGCAAAGAAGGAAAAGAAUCCAUAUGUUGUUCUGCACUAUGCUGCUAGCAGUUCAAUAGCUAAACAUACGGGAAAGUCCACUUUUGGCCCCUUAACUAUUGCCUCAGAUCAAAAUCAUCUAAUUUGCACCCUCAACUAUCAAAAGCAUCCAAGUUACAUCUGAAGGCAAUAUUUGUUAGAGGCUUUGUGUGAUGUGGCAUCCAUGUCAACGUGUUUUGCCACAUCAAUCGCUGCUGGGCAGUAGGGCCCACAUAUCAUGGCUGCCGUGCCCCUUCUUUCUUUAUAAUUCUUCCUCCUUAGCCAUGCCAUGGCCUCCUCUGUAGGCUAUAGCUUCCACUGCUGCUGCUACAGAUAACCCAUGUUUGACGUUGCAUAACAUCUUCUGAUUUAGAGAGGGGUAUCCUGACAGACAUGUACCAGUCUCCGCAAACCGCUGCACGGCUGCAUCCUGAGGGGAAUGGACAAAGAGAGGAUUAGAGAGGAAGGCUGAGGAGGGAGGCGUUUAGGGCGACUCCAACACGGCCACCCAAAUCGGACACAAAAAGUGUGUCCGUUUGGGUCUGCUGGUGCCCCUAACACGGUCACCCAUUUGGUCCGUUUUAUUAUUUAGUAUUGGCCACGGAUAGGCGGGCCAGGGCAAGGACAAGGGAGGACAAGCGCAGUGUCCACCCGCUGUCCGCCCAGACACAAACCCGGUCAGAUUUGGGUCGGCAAUGGGUUGAGCUGGACAGAAAAGCAGACAGCCGCCACACCGGACGAAAUGGGUCGCCGCGUUGGAGUCACCCUUAAUGCUAAGCUGGGAAAGAGGAAGGGAACAGAAAUAAGAGGAUGAGGACAAGGGAGGGAGAAAAGGGUGCUUCCAAAAAAUCAAUCCCAGGCAUGUGGGGCCUACUGCCCAGUGGAGAAUGAGAUGUCAAAGUUGCUGAUUUGGCGGCUACAUACAGAAUAUCACUCAUGAAACCAGCUUCUGGUCCUAUCGAACGGUUUCAUGAGUUGAUGGUUCAAUUUAGACCAGGCAAAAGUUGAGGGAUCAUAAUUAGGCUUUUCCAAACAUAAAUGAAUGUCAUGCUGUAAAAGUAGUGUUCGUCAUCCAGUAAACUGGUUCGAAUAUCCAACAAGCGCACAACUACUUUAUACACAUCUAAAGAAAGAACAGCUAUUUACAUACCACACAAAGGAGCUGCCUUUUACCAGGAGUUUCAGUUCCUUGGUUGCCAAAUUUUGCUUCUAAAACCGCAAUCAGCGCAAUAUUAUCCUUCAAAGCAAAUAGAACGUGUGAUAAAUAACAUCACUUUUUUUUGCGAAAAGUGAUAAAUAACAUCACUGUAGCAUACAUUAUUUCUUUUGAAGUUAAUCUUACUUUAAUCAGUCGACUUAAAGCCACUCUUUUCUGGGAAGCUGGAAUAAUAGCUUCUGUUAAAGACUGUGCAGCCUUAUUGAACUCAACCUACACAAGCAAGUACAAGUAUUAGAUAGCUGCAAAUAUCAAGCUGCUGCAAACCUGCAGUACAGGUACCUCGUAUUUUUUGACAUGUGAAAAUCUAUCUCUACGGAAGAAAGUAGCACAGCCAUCAAUGGCAUUAGGAACUCCAGCAUACACCUGUGACAACAGUAAAGUAAAAUCAAACAAGAGACAAAAGGUAUUAAACCAAAAUAUGAAGGAAAAAAUCAACCCAAAGAUACCUCUGUUGUCCGUUUCUUGUAAAGCGCCUGAUACCCAUGUUUAUCAAACUCAGGAGCAAAAAAAUCCUCAAAGUGGUUCAAUUGUACCUGAAAACAGUAGGACUUGGCUUAAUUCCCUCCUGUUACAAUCUUCGGUCACUCUUCGUUUUUAUUGUAAGCCGCUUCAGUAAACUCUUCAUAAUAUAUAUGCAGACAAUAUUCGUGAAAGUUUAAACAGCAAGCAAACUAUCAUAAAUUCAUAAUCCAACAUCACUGAAAAGUGAAAACAAUCAAACAAAGUGAUGGCACAAAUAUGGAAACGAACAGCCCAGCAGUAUAUGAAAGAUUGUAGGUUGAUGAACAGGGUUCCGGCAUUAAAGUUUACCGAGUCGCAAAAAUUAUAUGAUCAACCAAAUGAGACAUGCUCGGUUCCUAAAACAAAUAUAUGAGAUGAAAAGCUGAAAAUAGGUCACCAAAAUAAAUAAAUUCAGAAGAUAGCAAACAUAUGAUACCUCCUGAAGACAUAUAAUAUCAGCAUGAUAACCAAUAAUUUCGCGCAUCAAAUUUUGUCUUCUGUAAGUCCAUGAAAGUGCCCACGUUGGGCAGUAGCUAUAUGCAUCAGAUGUAGCAUAUGCAUCAGCAAGAAUAUUAUAGGACAGCACCGUGAAUGUCCCAAAAGAAGAAGUCUGGCUGUCUAUAUCUGAGUGACCCAAAACAUCUCCAUUCACUUGGAUAAGGCGGCGUGGAGUAGGAGUUGGUGCUGGAAUCACACGUGAUGUCAUAAUUGAAGUUGGAGACCCCGCAGGUACUUUCUUUUCCGUAUCCACCGCUGCACAUUCAAAUCUUAGAACAUGCCCAAUAUCAUCAGCAGUUGGUGUAUACGUCUGCGAGCGUCCCACUUCAAACCAUGUUUCACCCGAGUUCUUAUCAGUGCCUGAGGGAUACAAGGGAACAGGUCCAUUAUUAACUCCAGGGCUCUGUCCAAGAUUUGACAUUGAGCCAGACCCAGAACUUAGAAUCCCAGAACUACCGCUGCCAAAUCUACCAAAUAGCUCCUCCUCUUCAGCUCCAUUUUCAUUUAAAGCACUACUAGCUCGCUCAUGCAAAACCCUGUGGUGCUGCCAUGCAUCAGAGAAGCACUUAGCAGAACAAUGGUAGCUCUUAGCAGCAGGUAUUUUUGACUUGAGACAACCUAAGCACUGAAUUGUUGCUUGCUCCAUCGGAUGUACACUGCAGAUAGUAACUUUUCGAUCACUCUGUAUGCGAUACCUUCGAGCGAAAAGUCAAAUCAGUAUAACCAUGUGCUACUAGAUACAGAAAAAGUUUAGAAGAACAUGAUUGAAUAUAGUAACUACAAGAAAGGACACCUAAAUUGCCAAUGUUUUAGCAUGUAUGAGAUCCAGGAAAACUUGCUAUCAGCAUCUUGGAAGUCCAUUAUUCAGAGACAUUAGACUCACAACACUUCCAUUAUAAGCAUAGUAUGAAUAAGGCAAAAUGAAGCAGGUUGCCAAGAUGUCGCAAAAAAAAAGAAGCAAAUUACAAGUUUGCUUGUCAUGAGUUGCUGCUGCUGUUGUUUUUUCUUGAUUUUAGUCCCUCAACCGGCUAACUCGUGAUCAUUCAUCUCUUGCUUUCUUUACCAGAUCAACCAUGCAACUGAUUUCUUUAGCGGACCAGGCAAUAUAUGUAAUAAGCAAAAUUCUACAGUUUAGAUCAGAGAUUCAGAGGACUAUUGCAGGCUCUCAUAUAUCAUCAUUAGGGCAUGACGACCAGACAAGGAAGUUGCUGUGUAUAUUAUUAUUCCUAGAAGAAAAACAUUUAAGUACUGUUCAAGGAGGCGACCAACUAUAGCCCAGUGCCCACCCCAUCAAUCGAUUAGUGUCUUUCAGAACACUUCAUUUCAACAAUGUGUCUAUAAAUGGCCACACUUACUAUACUCAAACCUCAAACCUUAAAAGUGAAUAAAGAUGCACAUAUCACAUGAGAUUCUAUCAAGCUAAUGACUGAAAAGCAACACAAUGAAAAUAUAAAAAACUAUAGAAUUGAAGGACCAAAACCAAUGAAACUGCAUGAGUGUUAGUGGGACCAAGCACCACCAUUUCGAAAAGUUCUAAGGUCUAAAGUCUCAGCAAUAAAUGCUAUUUAAACCUACAUGACAUUAAAAAAACGGAUGUGAUAAAACAAAUAAAUAUUCACGAACAUGAUCAAUCAUUCAGAGCGGGAUUCUAAAAUUGAUCACUGAAAUUGUUCGGCCACCCAGCUAUUAGUGAUUAUACAGCCGAGCUAGCUCAUUGCAGUGGGUGGCAUAACCAGCGGUUACAAGUUCUUUUCUCUCAUAUUUGCCUCUCCAUUUUUCAUUUUUUUAUUUCCAAAUAGAUCUACAAUGUUAUUUGAAUUUUAAAAAUAAUAGGUAGGGCACUCCUUACAUACAUGACCUCCUAGGCCAUUUAAAACAAAUAUGCAUUGUUUGGGGUUUUUUAUAUAACAUAAAGUAAGUUAACUAUGACACACUGCCAAAAUAUUUUUGCAUAAAAAACAUUAAAUUUGAUAUAGCACAGAAAGAACGUGGAUAUCCAGCAAGAGAUUAAAGAAGGCAAAGUGGGGCAGGCAGUCAGCAAAACAAAACUAGUGGAUCACGAGUUUCAAACUUUUACUAGCUUUAAGCAACUGAAAUAACUUGCCACUGAACCUAGUGAGCCAACAACUCUAACGUGUAAUAGCAAACAAGUAAUAAUUCUUUUGAAGCUCCAGAAUAAUCAAAACUGAGUCUAGAAUCAAGCUAGAAUGCCCAUUUGAGUUCACUGGUGAUGUUAGAGUGAUACUUAGUUCAAGGAGUAUAUCCAGAUACCCCAAUCAAAAAAAUCAUCUGAAGCCAUGCGAACAAACUGAUGGCACUUCUAGAAUAGUGUCUUUCCACAAAAUUAGUUAGAUAAGCCUAUGUAAUCCCAAAAUUUAUAAAAUGCUCCCGUUCCAUCCAAGAUGAACGUAAACAUUCCUGCACAACGAUUGGCAACAAUCCUCAACCCAACAGCCUUCAUCACCAUCCUAUGAUGCUAUCUAACACUCAAUAGUUCUAGCAAAACCAAAAUCAGAUGGUCUGUUUUGCUCAAUGAAUUACUUAUUAUCAUUACCAACCCGUGUGGCAGGUUGAUAUGGCAUAGACUAAAUAGUAUGAUUCAUAAACAGGCUUAAAAUAAUGCAAUACUGAGUUCUUUACCAAAUCAAGCAUUGGCAUUUCAUGUUCCCUGGGUUUCCAUUCGUUCCAAAAACAAACAACUGUCUUGCUAGAGAAAAUCAUGCUCAGAAUUCAUAUAGUUGUGCUUCAUUUAUGCAAGAAUCAAGACGAUUCAUGAGUUUAGCAAGUAGUUAAGCAUCUAGCAAACUGAUUGAUACUUAAAGCCCCCAUUUUCUUUUUUUCUUUUUUGUCAAAAUUCACUUGUAGCAACGCACAAGCGGAACUAAGCAUUCGAAAGUGUAUAUCCUAUUGAACCAAAAGUUGCAAUCACGAGCUGCUCACUCACCAUCUGUAUCGCAUGAAGUGGCCAUCAACAGGCGCGGCCUCAGGCACGUCGUCGGUGGAGAUUACACCGUUGGGCAGCCGCAGCAGCACGUACGGGGUGAUUUCGCACCCCACGAUCGGGAUCUCCGACGGCAGGUGCACCCGCACCACGCUCAGCAUCCUCCACUCCUGCUCCCCUCCCCUGCUCUCCUCUGCCCAGCCCAGGGGCGGAUCUAGAUGGUGUGCCGGGUGGGCACCGGCACACCCAAAAUUUGUGGACGCUGCGAGGACGGCGGAAGGCCAGGGCGACGUCGGGAGAGGAGGGGAGCGCCGCCGUCAAGGGGACCGGGAGAGCGAGACAGGGUUAGGGUUGGUUGCCUGAGGGUAUUUUUGGGCAUUUCGAAAAUCUAGAGUUGUGUCCAGCGCAUUUUUUUUCUAAACUAGUAUUGCGUAAGCGGGACGGAGUGGUAAUGUUUGUGCAAGACAAGAGAGAGCCGGAGAGGAUGACAUGUUUUUUUUAACGAUAAUAUUAAAAACUAGUCAAAUGUCCAUGGGACAAACUCAUAUGCGAUACUCACCGCAUUUGUAGUUAUAGAUUAAUACCUUUUCAUAGCAGUUUGCAGAGAUGGAACCAUGAAAGGCGUUGCAGACGUAUAAUUCACUCGCUAAAAAAUCCAUAUUGAGAAAAUAAUUAUGUACUUGAUAGACUCGGUCUCACGAAGUUCUGGUAAGAAGCCGGUUCGGAGGGACAAAGUUCCAGAAAGAUGGCCGCAAUGUCACGCACGACCAGGCGAAUUUGUGAUAGUUUUUUUGUUAUGAAAAAGCAAAGUAUAUGUGAUCGGCAUGCGACCUUGUGGAUUGGGGUUGAAAGUGUUGGACUGCAGUGUAUACCUUCAACCCACCACGUCUUGAUUUAAAGGCCAAAUCAACGUAGGAUUCGGACUCCUUAACUAAAUACGAUUAGGAUUCCCUAUCUAUGUCGGAUUUGGUCUCCUAUUCUGUGAUUGGCAAUUGGGAAUUUAGACAUUAAUCCAUAGCUUCUCCAACUCUUUAGUGAUUGAACGUAACGGUUGGUACAAGCUAGGCUGGGCGCGAUGGGCUGAGGCUGAGGCAAACCAACCAUGGACCUCGUACCGUUUAGAUUGAAAAAAGGACAUGUUUUUUUUUGUUUAUCGAUCAGGACGGACAGGCGCACGCACGAGGGUGAGUUGGAGGUUCAGAUCGGUUGGGCUUAGUGGAAGUUUUAAUGAAAAAGGCCUACGGACGUUCGCCAUCACCACCGAUUGUAAUAUAAUAGACAUUGUAGAUUAGUUAUGAUUUGGACCACCGGGCACCGGAACCCAAGCUGCUCAAUUUUGGCAAAAUUUGCAGAAAGCAAACUCAAACCCGAUGGCUCCUAUGUAGAUGGGAGUGAACUCAGAGUAUUCUCAUCGUGUUGCUACAAAGCUUUUCUUUGAUGAUGUUCCCUCCGUUGUGUUUCCCUUGCGUGCUCAAGGACACAAUGUUGUGAUUGAGGAAAUUGUUGAUGACCCUAGCUCUGCCAUCUUCCGUCCGUAAGUGAGGGCACAAGCAGCGCGUUGCUACUCCAGAAGUAACUUCAGGUCUGUGCCAUAGUUCAUGCUCUACCAUGUUUAGAGGAUUCAAGUCCUAGCUUGUUUCUGAUGUGCAGAAGAAACAGUCCAAGUGUCGAUGUUAUACAUUGUCAGAAUAUGAUUCGGGAUAGCACACGACCAAGGAUUACUACUACUCUUGAUGGCAACAGUCUACGUGUUUAUCAUUUGUUGGAACUCCAAGCACAAAGUGAUGUAACAAAGGGUGUUUUCCCCCACAAGUGUUUUACCCCCAACAAGCACCACAAUGGUUGUCAAUCACAAUGAUCACUAUACAGAAUCACUUAUUUCUGACGCGUUAAAAAACUUCUAGUCUGACGCAAAUGGGACGUGUCACUAAUCAAGUGUCAAAGAUGACUCGGGAACUUCUGACGUGUCAACAAGCGUCAGAAGUAGGAAACCCUAAUGACGCUUCUUGUCGAUUGUUAUUAGAGACAAGUAUCCUCAUGUCGGGUGAAGGCCAUGUUUGUUUGAGCUUCUGCUUCAGCUUUUGGUGGUUCUAGCUCUCUAAAAAGCACUGCUUCCGUUUACACAUGAAGCUGAGAAGCACGUCGUGAGGUGCUUCCCUCCAGAAGCUGCAGGAAGCACCUCCAGACGUGCUUCUCAGCUUCAUGUGUAAACGGGAGAAAUGCUUUUUAGAGGGCUAGAAGCAGCAAAAGCUGAAGAAAAAGAAAAAGCCCAAACAAACAGGGCCGAAGAUGAGUAAGAAGAUAGAGGGGCCUCACGGUGAUAUCUACUCGUGUAAGAUAGAGAACUCGGCGAAAGACAAGGGUUUAUACCGGUUUGACUUGCUCCUUUUCGUGAAAGCAAGCCUACGUCAUGUUGGUAAUCUAAUAUUUGUGUAUGAUAUUACAAGGUGUGUUCUGCCCAUCGAGGGCGCCUAGCCCGCUUUAUAUAGUCAAACAACUAGGGUUUCGGGUAGAGCCGGGUACAACUUUUACAUGGACUGUACCUUCCUAAACUAGUUAGGAUUCUUCCUUUACAAGAUAUCUACAACUAGUAUUUCCUAUUACCUGAACUAGGCUUCCUUCUUCAAUACGACAACUUCCUUGACCGAGUGAUAGGGGAUGUCUGGCUUGUGCGCUGAGUCGACUUUCUCUGUUCAGUCGUCUCUCAGCUACCCGGCUAGAAUAUCCUCGUCAUUAGCCCCGAGUACAAUGUGGAUAGGGGGGAGCUGAAUAAUGCCAUCGUCGUCAAUCUCGAAUCUUUCUCGUUUCAUGUGCUUUUCUUGAGUUGCUUCUUCUUGAUUUUAUUCCGACCUCAAAUCCACAAUGUACUUCUCUAUGACAGCUUGAGGUUCGAGCUCAUGGCUUCUUAUGCAUAAAGUUCAGCUAUAAGAGCAAACCAGCUUCUAUGUGGCAUGUGUUAGCAUUGCAGCGAUAUUAGCUCCUGUUUUGAUUUGUGUUUUUUCCUUAGCUGUAGCGUUGCUUUGAAUUAAUUAGCAACUACGUCGUGCAUGUAAAAAAAAGUGAGUUCCAACAAAUCUCUGACGUGCGCUAGAACAAGAGGUCAGUGAGCAUCAAAAGUAUACUGACGUGGCGACACAAGGAAGAGCUAGGAAAUUCCUCGUGAACAAAGUUGACGCUUCCACAAAGGAAAGAGUCACAUCAGCUAGAAUCUCCUUCGACGCUUACGAAGUAAGGAAGCGUCAGUAGAAAUGAAGAGUCAGAAGUGUGGAAGUUCUCCUACGCUUCUCCGAGGUAGGUGUCAGAAAUAUCUUAUUGACGCUGCCUCGUGGAUGCUACCUAUGACAGUCCUUAUAAGGAGCCGCAGAGAUAAGGAUUUGCGCUGACGCUUUUUAGUUUUGUGUCAGUGGGGAGCUUGCAAGAGUAAAGUCUAUAGUAGUGAGUGUAAGGCUAAACUUUAAAUAAACAAAUAAUAACUUUAAGUAAACUAAUGCAAAACAAUAAUUUAAACUAACUAGAAGAUGCAAUAACUAUAUAAUAAAUACUACUACUUAUUAUGCAACUAAAUAACCAAGAGAGAAUGUUUAAAUGGCUUUUUACAAGAUAUCUAAAAAAAAGCAAUUAAAUAAAUGCAAAAUAAUUGUAACAGAGGUGUUUCUUAUGAUAUUAAAGAGGACCAGGAUACUCUUUGCGGCAUGAAUAUAGCACAUAGGACAAGUUCAUUUACUUUGCAAUGUUUUUAUGAAGUGAAUGAUAAGCAUUCAUAUGGACAUCACGUCCUAAUAUUGAGAAUAUGCAAAAUAUCUCACUAAUGCUCCCUUGGUAAGUGACUCAUCAAACUAGAUUAUUGCUUUAGGUACUUUGACAUGAUGUUGAACUUUAAUGCAACUUUGAGCAAGCAAGACCACCAUUGUUGUCAUUUGGUAGCAUAAUGCGUAUUCAUUUAUCCCUAGCGGGUCAAAUCACUGAAAGGUGAAAAUCAUAGUGGUUCCCAAAAUUUUUGUCACUAUCCGGUUGCCACUACCAAUUGCUCUAUCUAAUACACACAUCCCCACACAUGCACAUGUAAACUAGUAUGAUUAGUACAAGUAAGCAAGAAGGGAUAGACAUAUGCAUCUAUCAAUACAUCAAAACACAAUCCAAACAUUGCAAACUCAUGACUCAUCUCAUAACAAAAGGUUCACCAAUAAAAAAUAUAACGAUGAUCAUAAUCAUGAUAGGAAACUCGUAUGAUUCUAUUACAACCCAUAGCCCAGCGAGGACUACUCCCUCAUCAUAUUGGUGAUGAUAGAGAAUAUGUUCAAGGAGAAGGAGAGGCGACCGAUGGUAUUUUCCCUUCUAAUCUUGGAUCAAUCUGAUGUUGUUUUUUUUCUUUCCGAGUCGUUGUGCUAUGCAAGCGCAAAGCACGGGGUAUUAAUAAAUGGUUUUAGGUCAAGACGAAUCUUCGGGUGAAAGAAUGCACUUGCGGGCGGCCACUCGGGAUAAAAAACAACCAUGGUGAAUUAUGAUAAUCUAGUUUUUUCGACUACUACCUCUGAUCCUAAAUUGUUGUCGUGGUUUUACUUCAAAUUUGUACUAAAACCACGACAAGAAUUAAGGAUCCGAGAGGUAGUUUUUACCUAUUUUUCAAUUCGGCUUACCUAUUAUUUUCUAAUUUUCUUUGUAUGUUUUGACAAAUUCAGCACACUUCAGCAACCCAAACUGAACAUUAGUCCCGUACAGGAUUCCAGAGUGCGUUGUACGCAUGUGUUAGUAUAUUCCUAAGCAAGCAAGAAAAAAAUAAAAAGAAGCAAAUAGUAGCAACUAUCGGUUGAUCCCGGCCCUGGGCCAGGACAAGAAGGGCGACAGCCCGGGCCCGCCCAAUCCAGGGGACCAGAUCAUAUGUGUAUACGCUAGUAGAGAUACAUGUCCAAAUAUUGAUUAGCAUAAAAGAAAGAGGAAAAAAGCUAGAGGCCCAGCAGAUUGCUCCGCUCCUGGCCAACCCAGGACGUAUCAACGUGCUCGAAAAUUCCCCUUGGCACCCGGUAUCCAGGCCUAUGUGUAUCUCAGCCGACCAAUUUUCCAUCCUACGGCUCCAUCCUGCAGCUCCUGUCGUCCGGCCCGUUUAAGUAUACAAUUUGCUAUUCUCCCGUACAGGCGGUAUUUGCACCGGUUGGCCUGACACAUCCUUUUUUAUAUUGCGUUUCCCAGGCUGGCUGGCCCAAGUCCCACCUCGCGCAUUGCUGGGUGAGCACAAGUCCUUUUCUCCCGCUGCAUACCGUGGCACAGGUCUGCCCUUGAGACAUCGCAUUAAAUUUCCAUCAGUCCCAUUUUUUUGGCCCAAGAUUUCUGGGCAGGCACAGGUCCACGCCAUUGGGGGGGCGGUGGCGCGGCUGGCGAGGCCGACGUCGCGGCUGUCGAGGGUGCCUGCCACGGGCGAUGAGUCACCGAGUCAGGCUUCGGUGCCCAGAGCUGAAAAGCGUGCCGCGGUAGACGAUGUUGGGCGCCUUAAUGCCGUGCUCGGACACGAUUCGGUCGGGGACGAAGCUGUCAGUUCCCGCGCAUAGCUCAUCAAGGCUGUACUCUGUGAUCAUCGGCACAGCACUGUCGUCUUCCCCAGUUUCCCCAUUCUCUAUUUCUCUACACAGGGAAAGCAAACAGCAAGGGGAAGAGCAUCCAUCCUGUAAAGCAACGAGCUGCCGGCGAUGGCCUUCUCCACGACCGCGGAGCAACGCAGCGCCGUCCCCGUGCCUUCGCUGGAUGCCCGCUCGCAGCUCCGUGAUGGACCGCUUCCGCACGAGCACCGCCCGCCCGAACGGGUCGUGCGCGUCGGCAAGCGCGAGGGCCGAGGGACACGUUGAGGUGGCCAAAGGCCGGGUCGCUAGGGAAGAACUCCGAGCUGCAGACCGGGGGCGCGGGGCAGGGACGGAUGUUCGGGCAUCGGCCGGACCUCCUCCGUUGGCAGCUUCCGCAGGCGAGGAAAACUUGAGGGGCAACGGCAGAUAUUUGGGAUUUGACGUGGGUAUUGGUGCUCCGAUCUUUCCAUCAGAUUGAUAACUCUCGAUUUGGGUUGAAGAUGACGUUUGACGAUCCGACUACGGUCUAAAAGACAGCGCCUUAGUAAUCAAUACACCAACUACAGAGAGUUAUUGAUCACGCGGGGCACGAUCAACCUGACCACGAAGGUUUUUAUUCCUGCAAGCAAUCGAAAAACAAGCAAGACCAAGAUAAAUAGUGGAUGCAAUCUGAAAUUGCGAAUAUACUAUAUCAAACCAAUGUCUCAAUGAGACGAUAAGUUGGGAUUUCGAAAGUGGUAAAGCAGGUGGUCUAGCCGACAUAGACGAUUACACGAAGUUGUAGCGAUGGCUAACUUUUAACUAAACAAAACCCAAGUCUCCAUAGGGAGGCUAGUGGGGUAUAUAAAAGAGGAGGGAGAGAGAUUUUCGCCCACCUUGAGUAAGGAGGCCGAAAUCCAAAUCUAUUUCUAACUUUUCUAACAAACUAUAACUCUUUAGGAAACAAAAAAACAGAUCCGUCAUCUUGUUUUGUCUGCCACGGCCAGCACGCGUCGAAUCUCCUUGUGGGGUCAAAUCUGUUGGAAAGGUCUUGUAAUUACCUUUCCAACAAGUACUUGUUUGCUUGAUUUGGACUCUGAAUGCGGUCUGGGUGAUUAAAACAAAUUCGGAUCUCCUGACAGCUCGGACCCGAAUCGGAUUCAACUUUAAUUCGUGAUAUCUUUCACUAGCAAGCUCCGAACCAUGUGCCGUUCGAUUUGUUGGAAAGUAGACUUGAUAGGCUUCACCUUGCAUCUCCCGUUGCAUGCUAUCGCACCUCAUCUUCACUUUGGAUUUGAAAAGCUCGACCAAAUAUCUACAUAAUAAAAUGAUACAAGAUAGUAGCUCUGCCUCUUCAUGCAUAUGGCAUUGAAAACAAAUAGUACUUGACUUCACCUGAUUAUAAAAUGUUAUCGAAUACUCUAGAACUGAGGGUGCCAAAGGUUGUAUCUAUGGUUAGCAUGUCCAUAUCAUCUUCCCUUUCUUGAAACAAAAGCCGUCCUCGGUGUCGUUUGUGCUGAAAAGAGACUGACAAAACAGACAAAGUGUGUGCAUGGGUAUAUGUACAUGUCAUCCAUCUUUAUACAUCUCCUUUCUUGCACAAUUAAUGUUUUAUAAAAAAAUCUCAUGAGAUAAGUAGUCAAACAAUCAUCAUGAAUUACAUUCCAGCAAGAAGAUUGACAAUAUGUUUUGCAUAUAUAAGUGAAACAAUAUCUUAUACUAGUAAAAAGCCCGUGCUUUGCUACGGAAGAAGACUUUCUUUUAAAAACAUGCUAUAGGUUAAUUUUCAAAUAGUCGGCUGACUUGGGCUUGCGGGGCUGCGGCUUGGGCUGAAAGGUGGAGAUGGGGUUGGUGGGCCUGAAGGGGGCUCGGGGUUGCUGGGUUGCUGUGGGAUCGAGGCAGCGGGGAGGUUGAAGGCACGGGAGCAAGGGGAGGCAGUGCCGGCGAGGUGGACGAUGGGAGCAGCACGCGAGGGUGCUGGGCUGCCACGGUGACUGGAGCUUGGCGACAACGUUGGCGGAUUGCAGCAGCGAGGGAGAGGAGAAGAGGGCGCAACGAGUAAUGAAGGCAGGAGCGCCAGAGAGAGGAGGCGGCUAGACAGAGGAGAUCGGGAGGGAGAAAGGAGCUCGAGGGGAAAGAUGAAGGAGCAUAGGGGAUAUCGGGGAGGACCGGCUGCCUGGUUGGGUGGACGGGCAGGACAAGAAAAGGGGACGAGAGCGAGAGGGAUAGGGUUCGAGGAAGCCCGCAGAGGUUAGGGCUCGGGGGUCAGACGGAUGUUUUUCGGGACUGGGGAUAUGCAGUGGCAUAUUGAGCGUAAUUUUAAUGGAGUGACGUACCGCGACACCUGUACCAUCACCACCAACUCCAAUUUAAUAUAUUUGUAUAGAUUUAGUUUGCACCGCUCACCAUUAUACCAUCCCAACACUGGAGAAUAAUAAUUAAUGGUACCCAAAUUAGUUACUACAAGAUGCUGAAAUUUAGAGCAAGUCAAAGCAGUAAUAUUCAAACAAUCGUGUAAACAACUAUUUGGCAAAUAAUCAACACCAAUAUUGGAGAUCAUAUCAAAAUAGUUAAGCAUAUGCAAGAAUUUAUUUUCUCCCAAGAUAGUAAAAUUAUCACAAGUAAUACAAAUUUCAUGUACCAAAAAGUUAUUAUUCACAUCAUGUUCUCCAAUUAGUUGAAUAGUGGAUCCAUGAACAUUAGGAAAAGAUUUUGAAAUUGUUAACUUGGACACUUUUUCCAUUGCAUAUGAUAAAUACAUAUGUGUAUCAAGUGUAAUAUAACACAAAGAAUUAAUAGGUGGAUCCUUAUGAAUCACUCCAUGUCUAAUUAACUCGACACAACCUAAGCCAAAUUUAUCUAUCUCACAUGUUUCUCCCAAAGCAUUAGUUCUGUCCUGACAUGAUUCAUGCUCAUCAAUAUCAAAAUUAAUAUGUGCACUAAAAUCAUUAGAAAAAUUAAUUUCAGCACUAGGUGUACUCAAAUCAGCAUGUAAAUCAACAAUUUCACAUGGUGCAGAAAAUUCACCGAGUAUCUCAUUUAUUUCAUCACAUGUCAUAUUUAGUUCAGGAACACAAUCAUCUUUACCAUUACCUUGUGGUCUCGACUCAUUUGUAGUAGACCUUCACUGUAAUUUCCUCUCAACUUCACGAGCAAGAUUAAGCAAACACAAAAAAGAGUCGUAUUUUCCAUAUUCAAUUAUGUAAGAAAUAUCAAAGUUAAGCCCACAAUAAAACCUAUCCAUUUUUGUUUGUUCGGUUUCAUCUAAACCAGAUCGCAAGGUUAGAAUUUGGAACUCCUGAUAGUAAUCAUCAACAGUUUUAUCAUCUUGUUUCAAACGUCGUACUUUUGCACGCAAGUUACAAGCAUAACUAAAAGGGACAUAUUUUUCUCUCAUGAUUUUCUUCAUAUCAACCCAAGUGUGAGGAAUUUUCUUUUCUCUAACUAUCUCACUCCACCAAGAUAAAGCAGCAAAAGUAAAUUUACUACUAGCAAUUUGGAACUUGCGACUAUCAAGUACAUGGAAGCAUGUGAAUUGUUCAGUUAAAGCUAUCUCCCAAUCUAUAUACGUUUCAGCAUCAUUUUCCCCCUUAAAGAAAGGUACACACAAUUUAAUUGUAUUGGAAGGAUUGUUUCGUACCGUUGCCGUCGCAUUGUCAACAAAAGACGUGGAGGAUGGCCAUGGUGAAAAGCACUCAUCGCGGUCACGGGAUUGCAUCGGUCUAGUUCCCAUGCUUCGUGUAAGUCCUGUCAUUGUUAGUAGAAAACAAGAAACAAAUCACAGUAAUAUGUUCCUAUCAACUAAUAGGAUGUGGCUACAAGUCGUUCAACUCUCAAGCUAAAAAUCAAGUUCUUACAAGUUCUUACCAUGCAACAAGAAGGUGAUGGCCAGCGGCUUGACCAAGCCCCUCCGAGGAUUAAAUGUAUCAAUGCCUCGGUAACAAACCAACCUAGGUGUAGAAUCUGUGUAGCUUGGAAGCUUUUGUGAGUAGCAAGGAAUAGCAAAUAAUCAAACAGCAAUGCAAAGUUGAAAAUAUGCUAAAUAAUGCUAGUCCUAACUGCUGGAGUCGAUAAUAACGAAUUACAGAAAUAAUCUAAGCCUAGAUAGUGAAGAAGGUAGGAUAGAAAGAUCAAAAUAAAGGUAAAACAACUAAAUCUCUAGGAUUUUUCUUUUCUUUUAUUUAUUUAUUUAUUUAUUUUUGUGGCCUUCUGUUUGGCUUCUUAUUCUUUUCUUCUUUUUUUAUUUUUUUAAUCCCAGAAACUCAUGCAAAAGAAGUAAAGACCGGAAAACUGCACGUCGGUCUGUCGAAGAACAGCAAAGGGUGCUGUAAGAAAAUGUCAGAAAAAUAUGGAAAAAUAUAGGUUAGGAGCGUAUCGAAACAAGCUUUCCAGGAAGUGCAAGAUCACUCAAAUCGGAGGCCGGACGAUGGAGAUAACGUAAAAACACCGGCCUGCAGCGAUGCCGGAAACCGGAUGCAGAAACUUGGAAGCUCUGAAAGUCCACCUUACAAACCGAGUUUGAGGGUCAAGGAGUCAGUGCGAUGCCCUGGAUAUUUUCUCGUGCGCUUCGUCAUGAGCUUUCCAGAAAGUACUAGAAGGUCCAAAUCUGAGUUGGUGACCGUUUUACUGAACACGGGUCAAACCCACUCGAAACUAUAAUUCUCCUGAACGUGGAUCUGAAACUGAUUCUUUUUCUCUCUCUUUUUUUUCAUUUUUUUUCCUUUUUUUUCCUUCCUUUUCUUUGCUUUUUUUUCACAACUUUCCGAACAACUUGAUCUCUAAACAAAAUUCGAUCUAUUAUGAAACACUUUCCAAAAGCACUCUCGAUUGGACUCGGACUCGAACCCGGAGAAGGACUCGGUGUAUGACUCGAUGGAAGAUUAUGGCGUGGCGGUGGUGUGGCAGGGAGUUUGGCGGCAGAAAAUUGAGGAAGGAAACCUGCGUCACACGAAGAACAAGAAAACCAAAAGCAAGUUCGAUCUAGUAGAAAAAGUCUGAAAAACGAUCCAAUCUAAUCCAGCAACUCGACACGAUUAAUGCAGCAAAGGUUCAACAAUGCAAAUACUAAUGUGAAAAUUGCAAGGCUCAGAUUGGUUUUUGGGACGAAGGUAAGUAAUCUCUACUUUUUUAUUGUCUUUUUCUGGACUAUAGGUAAAACAUAUCUAAACUAUGGAAAAAUACCACGUGAUGUGGGUCGGGGUGGCCCGAUAUUUCGAUGAGAUUGAUAACUCUCGAUUUGGGUAGGAGGUGACGUUGACGAUCCGACUACGGCCUUGAAAGCAGCGUCUUAGCAAUCGAUACACCAACUCCAGAGGGUUAUUGAUCACGCGGGGGCACGAUCAACCUGACCACAAAGGUCUUUGUUCCUACAAGCAAACGAAGAACAAGCAAGAACAAGAUAAAUAUCGGAUGCAAUCUGAAAUUGCGAAUAUACUAUAUCAAACCAAUGUCUCAACGAGACGAUAAGUUGGGGUUCCGAAAGCGGUAAAGCAGGUGGUCUAGCCGACACACGCGAUUACACGAAGUUGUAGCGAUGGCUAACUUUUAACUAAACAAACCCAAGUCUUCAUAGGGGGGCUAGUGGGGUAUAUAAAGGAGGAGGGAGAGAGAUUUUCGUCCACCUUGAGUAAGGAGGCCGAAAUCCAACUGUAUCUCUAACUUUCCUAACAAACUACAACUCUUUAGGAAACGGAAAAACAGAUCCGUCAGCUUGUUUUGUCCGCCACGGCCAGCACGCGUCGAAUCUCUUGUGGGGCCAGAUCUUUUGGAAAGUUCUUGUAAUUACCUUUCCAACAAGUACUUGUUUGCUUGAUUUGAACUCCGAAUGCGGCCUGGGUUAUUAAAACAAAUUCGGGUCUCCUGACAGCUCGGACCCGAAUCGGAUUCAACUUUAAUUCGUGAUAUCUUUCUCUAGCAAGGUCCGAAUCAUGUGCUGUUCGAUUUGUUGGAAAGUAGACUUGAUAGGCUUCACCUUGCAUCUCCCGUUGCAUGCUAUCGCACCUCAUCUUCACUUUGGACUGGAAAAGCUCGAUCAAAUACUUACAUAAUAAAAUGAUACAAGAUAGUAGCUUUGCCUCUUCAUGCAUAUGACAUUGGAAACAAAUAGUACUUGACUUCACCUGAUUAUAAAUAUUAUCGAAUACUCUAGAAUUGAGGGUGCCAAAGGUCGUAUCCAUGGUUAGCAUGUACAUACCAGGCUUGCAGUACGAUGCCCGGAGCUGGGGGAGAUGGCGCUGCACAUGUCGUAUCUGAAGGAGGCGGCGAUUGAGGUGAAGAAGACGGUGGGGGAUGAGACGGUGACAGAUGGGGAAGAGAGGUAGAUGAGGGCGAUGAAGGGAAUAUGCCCUAGAGGCAAUAAUAUUGUAUUAUUAUAUUCCCAAGUUUGUAAUUGAUGUUUAUAUUUCUAUGCUAUAAUUGCAAUGGUUCUUGAACGUGAGAUUCGGAGGAAAACUCAUUUGCAUGUGUGGAAACAUAAACCCUAAUUUAAAGGUCCCUAGUCACGCCUCUUUGACUAGCUUAUAUAUAAUUGAUGAUUCUGUUUUCCUGAUCAUGAGCAUACGAUGCUGGUUAUAUAUGAGAGCACAUUGUUGGUUGAACAAUGGUGUUGGAUUGACCCAACUAAUGAUAUACCGAGAGAUCACAUCGAUUACUUGUUAUCGGUAUUAUUGUUAUUGUUGUAAUUAUCAUUAUCCUUAGACCAUGAAAAUAUCGUAUGAUAUUUAUAUCGGAAGGAUAAUUUGGGUGUUACUUAUUGUUUCCCGUAAUAGGGUUAUCAUGACGGUGAUUUCCGGGUACUCCGGAAAGUACGAAUUGAUUCGAUAGUUCAAGAUUGGGAUUUGCUCCUCUAUCGGUGGAGAGAUACACUAGGGCCCACUCGGUACGAAGAUAUCUAUCACCGUCUGGCCAGACACAAGAAUGAUAUGAUCAUUGAGAUAUCGGAGUACGGAAUGAGUUAAAAGUACAAAACCGGUAACGGGGAUAGCUAGGUACAAGUGGAACAAGGGUUGGUUCACGGGCGUACCGGAAGUCUCACCCCGGGUUUUGUAAACGUAUCGUGAAGCAAAGGGAAAUGGUUUUUAGUAACAAAUGGUUCACUUGAAAGUCUUCGUGUAUGUGUAGUAAUUAUUGAGAGUGUCCAGGCUCUUUAAAUAAUUAUUGACUGGGUCAUAGCUACACAUUUCCCAACCUAGGCGGUCAGACGCUUAACGACGAAUGGUUAUUUGAAGGUCUAAAGUUUGGAAUUUGGUCAAGAGUUGAAUACUGAAGUUGUUCAGAAUGACGAGACAUAUUUUAUGGAGGUCCUAAAUGUGAUUUAGGAGUUACAGAAAUAUUCGGAGUAAUCAUGAGUGCUUCCGGAAGGUUUUAGAAGCCUCUAGAAGGAUCCGAUGGAAAUUCCGGAAGGUCAAAUGGCAAAAGGUCAAAAGUCAAAGGUGGGUCAAACCCUGGUCAAAGGUUGACCAUGGGGGCCAGCCAUCUUGGUUUGGAGAAGGGGUUAUAAGACUCCUAUUAGGAGUUCAUAUCUAUUCCUAUUAGAGGUAGGCGUGCUACUCUUUUUGGAGGAGGACUCUUUUCGUCCUUUGGCCGGACGCCCUCCUAUAUAAGGAGGGGAGGGGUGGCCGGUUAUAGGGGCACUCUCGCUAGUUGUCCUUUGCCCGUCAAGUUCGAGCUCUCUCAUCUAAAGUUUAGACGUCUAAUUAGUAAAUCGUCUACUUUCCGAUCUAGUUUCUUCCAGCGGUUCUUCGUACUGGACGUGAAAGUGCUGCUGAACUAUUCCUCCGGGACGUGUGGAUACGUGUGGAGAGAUCGCCCACUUCGAUCUUGCAGGCGGAUCGCUGUUCGUCUACUUCAAGCUUUCAGGCGCAGCAGAUCGUGCGAGGAAUAUUCUCACGGCUGGGCGGUAUAACCUAACUGCGGGAAUCUGCUACAGGCUUCAACGACAAUCUAUUUCCGCUAUGGUUUUUUGGUAGAUGAUCAAUCUAUCGCAUCCGCAUAGUGAUCUUGAUUGGUUCGUUCGUAGGAAAAUUUUAAUUUUCUGCCUACGUUCCCUUUCAGGCGAAUGGAGGCGGUGGAGGGACCCGAGACGUGGGGUGGGCGGCCUGCUGUGCGUAUUUUAUUUAUUUUCUUUACUACUACUACUACUUAAGCCACAGUUAUGUCCGUGGUUUACCGUAAGUCCUCCCACCCCCCACAGAAAAAAAAGUCCUGAAAAAAUCCGGUCCCCCCACCCCUUCUGAGGAAACAUUCGCCCAGAAGGAAAUAUUCAAUCAACCAUCAAUUGAUUGAGUUCAAAAGAUGACCCAACGCAUUAGGCAACUCUUGGAGAGAUUUCAGGAGAGUAUGGAAAGAUUGUUAGGAGUUGGCCGAGUUGUGGGAGUGAUUUCAGGAAAGGACAUCUUGGUUAGUUGCACGUAUAGCGUGAGUUUAGGGGCUAACGGUCUGAGAUUGGCUGUUAUUUAUGGCAUGCUUUGUAAUCUUGUUUUUGGAAACAGAAAGAGGAAUAGGAAAGGAGAAAAUCUCGGGCUGUGAGAGGCAGCCUCGAGGCCCAAACCUUGCCUUCCUUAUGUUCGUGGUGUUGCCAAGAAAAGAGAUAUCGUGAGAGAGGGAGCUGCAGCGACAGAGAAGAAGAACUGGAGUUGCAGAUUCCUGCCGCGGCAGGAAAUAUUCUGCCGCGGAAGAAAAUCUGCAGGCUGGAGCUGCGUGAGGUAGACGGGGAAGAAGAAGGGGAGCAGCAGCGGCUAGCUGCUCCAACAUAGCCUUAUCAGUUGCCGGGUAUUAACUGGACAAUUCCUAAUCAUGCUUCAUGAAACGGUGCUAAAACAUUGUCCUGUGUCGCAAGUCCCAACAAUCCUAAUGGAUUUCAUUCUGCCGAGUCAUUAAAGGUCUGUGCUUGUUACUCCUAAUUCUGAUCAUAGUUAUUGUAACGUGCUUCUAUCUAGAAGCCGAUGUACACCUAUCAUGUUUGUCAGUUAUAACUUUGUAUGCUUUAAGAAGAUCUAUUUUGUACUUUGGGCUAGGUAUUUUCUACUUCGUAUGCUUCAAGGAAGGUAACUGACUGAGAUGAGAUGCAUAGUUGUUGCCAGAGAGAAGGGACGUUAGCACGUGGCAAACGUGGUUAGCAAUAAAAAUGCAAUCAGAGAGAAGGGAAGUUGGAGAAUGAAACAAAUAUUUAUUGUGAUAGGUUAAAAGUUAUACACAAUUAGUGUACAUAUUUAUUUUUAUUUAUUUAUUAUUUUUCGUUGCAACGCACGGGUACUUUGGCUAGUAUAUUUAUUUGGAGAACAUCCGUAUUUUAUUUGGUGGGCGAUGGAACAAGACAGACAUGUACCAUGCCUUCUUGGUUUUGAGUUGGUCCAGAAACAUCUCACAAAUGGUCCAACAACCCAACACAAAUGACCUAGUAUUACUCACUGUUCUAUACCAAUAGUGGGCCAAAAAGCGGAAAUUCCAUUUGGGUCCUGGGACCCCCUCCCUAUCUCCAUCAUUCCGCCGAUGUUUGAUGUUUGCUUUUAGACCCUGUUUGUUUGGGCCCUGAUGGUCGCCCUUUGCGUAUUUGUGAAAUCAUAGGUGAUGUGUAACAUUGGUAAGUAUUUUAGAUGAAACAUUGAUGUGGAUACUUUGGCUAAUAUGGAUUGACGAAGAUGUAACUUCGACAAUGUCCAUAUUGAUGGACUUGUAUCAAGGAAAGAGGAGUGUGUGUUGGCGAACUCGUCGGCUAACAAGGACACAGGGGACACGAUUUACCCAGGUUCAGAGCCCUCGAUGAGGUAAUACCCCUACGUCCUGCUUGUCGGAUCUGUAUUGAUGAGUCGAUUACAAUAGGGUGCCGCAGAGUCUAGACGCACCGAGUCGUCGAGUGCGUCCAGGCGACUUGUAUCUAAGCUCGGGGGGUGUCCUCUUGGCUCCCCCUCCUGGUCCUUUAUAUAUGCAGGAACUCACAUCCGAGGUAGAGUCCAAGUAGGUUACAAUGAAAAGACAUACUCUAAUUAUUCUUCCUUAUCUUGAGUCGCAAGAUUUGGCAUGUAAACUCCUGGAGUCGAAGUAGGCUUCCUUGUGGGCCCCUAGCUGGGCUGUAUCGGGUAUACUCGAGUCGAGUACGUGGUUAGUCAUAACCACGUCAUGGAUACUUAUGUGAUGACAUGUAUCUUGUUUGGACUUAGUGGUUUGCUAUUGGUGUGUUGAUCCAUUAGUUUCUUAUGUAAAAACAUGGCGUGAGUUGUGUUGAAACUUACCUUGAGUGAAGUCGUGGACUUGUGCUCGUACUGGUUAUUUGUGUGUUCACUUUCAGGUGUUGCCGGAGCUAGAAGAACAUGGUCGGUGAUGGGAUCGAGGGACGAAGCUUGGGAGAAGCUGAGGUCAAGGGAUCAAAGUCAUGCGAGACGUUCAUGUGAAGGAACAAUGGAAGUGAAAUAUACGAUGAUUCGGGAGGGCACCGGUUUGUCGUAUGUUGUUUAUACCGGAGAUGUAUGGUAUUGUAGAUAUUUGACACGUGAUGGUCGAGUUUUGAAGACAUCACAAGAAGAGUCAAGGAGUCCAAACAAGACCAGAUGUUCCCUAUUGUUAUCGGGAACGAGACUAAAUGUUCGGCCUUAAUGAGAUGGACCUUGAUUCCUCUCCGGCCAGGAAAAGAUGCGGCUCCUCUUUGUUUUGUUCUACUACCUUCAUCCUCGGGUGAAGCCGGUUGGCUCACCAAACAAGAGGCCUACUGUUAAAUCAUUGGUAACCAUGCCUAACGGUCGGUCCUCUAAGCUAUCGGCCAAGGCAAGUGAGAGCUGUUCAAGAGUUGGGGGCAUAUCUUUAGCUCGAGUAGCAUUCGCUCCCAAAAUGUGUGGCAUCGACGUGAAGACAUGUAGGUCCAGCCGUGGCUGGAUGAGAGCUGUUUAAAGACUAAACAAUAGUGUCAUGAAUAUGGCGUCCGAUGGAAAAGUGGUCCAUAUGGAAGUUGUGCGCGUCGUGACGCUGUGUGAAUGCUUUCUUUUGGCCUACGGGCUCCUACCUCCACAUCGCGUGCUUCGUGACGCUGUGUGAAUGCUUUCUUGGAAUAAAUCCCCAUAUGGGUCUUUGGAAGAGAAUGUUCACCAUCAAGCGCCAAGGCAAGGAUGCGAUUGGAUGGGUGAAUAUUCAAACUCAUGCGGAUGCCAAAUUCUUCAACCUCCGAGAGAGGGCAUCAUCUUCUCGAUGGAAAUCGAGGUGGUUCUUUGUCAUGGAUGUGCCGGCCGAAGGACGCGACUUCAGUCUUCCCGAAUUCUCCGUGACCACGUCGGUGAAGAAGACGAUGGCCUGGAGUCAUAAAUUGGGAGGAACAGAGGGUGAAGAAGCCGAGACUCUAUUGGCCCGAGUUCUGUCUCUCAUGGAGACUCCUCAGUUGAAGGUGACUAGAAUUCACCUCAUUGCCGCUUUUAUCCGGAGAAGAAUUCAGCCUCUGCAGGCUCGUGCUCAUCCCAUGUGGGCAUAUCGGGGGGGUUCAUGACUCGACCCGAUUUAGUACCGAGGAAUUUCGUUCGACUGAAGUGUGUCGACGAGUUCGGCGACUUACUAACUUGGACGAGUCGGAGCCCUGCGAGAUUGACCCUCCAGUGGCUCCCUAUGGGCCUGACAGGUCCCUAGAAAAGAUGACCACCGAAGCGUCUGACAAGCCCUGCUGUUUUUUGGCAUGAAUUAUUUCUGAUCAUGGUUUUGAUUUUAGGGACCCGAUAAUGAUCUAAGCGGCGCUUCCCCACCGGCAAAGAAGCGCGGCAGAGGAAAAUGACUUGUCGGUACAGACCCAAAUGAUAAGCUUGAGGGACCCGAACGUCGGGCCGUCAGUGUCUGUACCUGCGCUCAAGAGAACCAAGUCCGACGGGCCAAUCGCGACUCUCGCUUUGGUCUUUUUGCAUGACUCAACCGUGCCAGGUGAAUCUUUUAGCCAUCUUACUUCAGUAUCCUAGAGAUUUUGACUGAACCUCUAAAAACUUCUUGAUUAGCCAUACUAGUGGCUCAGUUGAGAGCAAAAAGGCUCCCUGGACUCAAUCGACUGGUCAGGACUUGAAAGGGUCGGACCAGCCGACUAAACAAAAGACAGCCCAUACCAAGGAGGCUUCGGCGGCUAAUCCGAGCAGAGGAAGUCGACCAGAUGAGUCGAGCGUUCCUCAGGCGACGGUUCCUGCGUCGAGUCGACACGUGAGCAAAUUUGUCAUUUGCUAUUACCUGCCUCCCGGUGGGAGUGACACUCAAGAAAUGACUUGAGAUUGCUUUUUUGUUUGUAGCCAAUCAUCCGCUCCAUGGCAACUCUUAUUGAAGAGUUUGAGGAGACGAAAGCAGAUCGGGAGCGACUUCGAGAAGAGCUGAGUCAAUGAAGCGAUCCUCCCCCUUACAAGGGUUCGAUCUCUGUGCUUACCGUGCUAGUCCCUGGAUCGACUCACUAGCACACACAGUUUCAUGAUGAAAUAUACAGAAACAAAGGUCAAAAGUACUUUAUUACAUCGCAUCAUUCAGAAUUUAAAUAGUACUUACAACCUCGCAUGACCUCUUGGCCAGCAUAAAACAAAUACUGUUUCAUCAUCAUAAAACAAUGUUUCAAAACUGCAGCGGAAAAGGGUAGAACAAAAGGGCCUCAACUACUCCAAGGUGAGAGCAUGUUGGAAUGUAAGCACAUGACCCAUGACAAAACGACGAACCUCACUCAUCGUCGGAUCCACCUGCAUUGUAAUUGCAGCCACUACGUGGUCAAUACAUUUGAAUGUAUUGGCAAGUUCACCAGAGUUAUAAAGGACCUACCAAGUAUAUGCAUAAUUUGGCUAGGUGGAGUUUGGCUGUUUGCAUAAAAGCAUCAUAGUUCAAUCCUAUCAUUUUUAAACAAUUAGUUUUGAAUUCUAUUGGACACGGGAUAGAAACACCCAUGCUCCUAUUAACCUAGGCACAUUGAGUAGAAACAUCAAUGCUCCUACCCAGUUCAAACCAUUCUUUUUAUUAGGAAAUUGGAAUGAGUGAGACCUUUCUUACAGCCCCAAUAUCUAGUUGCUCAUAAUUGUCCGUAACCGGGGACACGGCUAAGUACUUAGUUUGACACUCUCGAGAGGUUGUACACAUUCCCCACAAGAAAUCGACGUGUUAAUCCCUUGCUGUCCUCAGGGUAGAGUAGCAACGGCAUCGACUACAGGAUUUUUCAGAACAUAAUCUCCCAGACCACCUGAUGGACGCGCCCCCACCUACACUGCUACAUACCGAUGUCACCUCGGAUCCGGGUUCAUAUUUCUUACAUCCAUCCUGGCAGAGCCCAUAAUACCAUGUGGUUGUACUGGAAUCUACUAAACAAGAAACUAGUCCAGUCUCUGGUUACCCCGGGUGGCAUUCCUCAGUUGCAACGCAGGCGCUCCCAUAGAAAUGGUGAGACGACUCAUAGAAAUGGACCCAUAGAAAUGGACCUGACGUCGCAUACAUCUCCACUUCCUCAAAGCAGCCCACCCAGGACGGUUUAUUGAAUUACUUGUUUUGCCGUACACUAGGAAAACCAUAUUGUAAUUCAAUAGUAUCACAUUGUAAUAAUACCACCCUCGUAUAUUAUCAUAUCCUAGCAUUUUACUACCACGAUGGCAAUUGGUGGUGGGAACAUGGCAAAGGUAUUCUACACUAUUAGGAGAAUCAUAGCAUAGCAUAGAUACAAUAAUAAUCCUAACAAUGCAACUAAUAAAAUCUAGUGCAUAAUAAAGUAAUACGUGAAUGAUCAAAGUGAACUUGCCUUGAUAGUAGUUGGUAUUCAAACACUCUUCGCAAUCACACAGUUCGUUCUCCAAGAAAACUAAUCAAAUACAAACAUUGCAUACAUAAGCACACAAUACAAUCAAGAGUAAAAAAGUAUGCCAUGAUGCAAUGUAAAACAUGUGACAUGAGCUUGGUUUAUUUUAUUUGAGUGAUCUACUGAUCCUAAGCAUAAGUAAUUAAAACAAAUGCAUUAGCGUUUUAAAUAGAAAGGCAAAGGCUAGGGUUUAAACCCUGAAAUAAGGUUUUAUUUGCGUCUGCAAAGAAAUUUAAUUCAAAAUAUUUAUUUCUCUGUCUUUAUGGACAGAGGAUAAUAAAAUAAAAUUUUGGGCACUGGUUUCAUUCAAAAAGGACUUCUAAAUAAUUAGUUAUGAUUUAAAUAGUAUUAUACCUUAUUCUGUAAUUUGAAUGUGAUUCAAAUUUUCAAAUUUAAAAAUGGACAGUGCCAAAAGAUUCUACACUUCCUAAGGAUUUCAAAAAGGUGUGGAUCAUCAAAUUUGGCCAAACAGAUUAAAAGAUAUGAUCAUUUGAAGUUAGAGGGGCUUUUCUGCAAAAGUGCCAUUUCUAAUUAUUCCGGGAAUUAAAAUUAGAUUUUCGUUUUAUAAAAUAGGUGCCACAUGUCACGUUCUCAUUGGUGCGUACCGGUUCGGUUAAAAAUAAACACGGGAUCUAAUCCUAGCCCUCGGAUCUGGAUCGGACGGACGGGGCGGGCUAGGGUUUACCUCCGUGGCGGCGGCGGUCGCCGGAGACGAGGGAGACGGCGGCGCGGGCACGGGCGGGCGGCUCCUCCGGUGAAGUUGACGGCGCGGGGAGGUGCUGGGUCGACACGGCGCGGUACGGCGAAGUCGGGGGCGAGGUCGGCGCUCCUCGGGGUCGUCGGGGUGCUCGCCUAGGAUGGCGCGGAGACAGCGGCGAGCGGCGGACGGCUCCGGAUCUUCGGCUUGACGACGGCGAGGCGCUGCGGCGCGCAAAAAGGAGAAACGGACGCAUCAAAAGAUGCGCAAGGACGAAGGAAAGCGAACGGCUAGAAAUGGGCAGAGUUUUGACCUUAGGGUUCACCGGCGGCGACCAAAACGUGCGGCGGCGAGCGACGAGCUCCGGCGAGCGAUUCCGGCGGAGUGGGCGCGUGAGAGAGAGGGGAACGAAGGGGGAAGAAGAGAGGGGGGCGGGGGGCAGAGCUUUAUGUUGACGCGCUCGGGGCUGCGAAAUAUGGACGGAGCGCAGAGAUCUCGGCGGAGACGGCACGCGGUGGCGAAGAAGGAAAGCGGCGGUGGACGCGGGCGCUUUCCAUCGGGAACGAAGACCCUGACGCGUGGGUCCCACGCGUCAGUGGCAGCGGGCACGCGCGCGUGCGGCGGGGCCAGUCUGGCUCGGUCGGGCGCGGUCGGAGGGGGCUGGUCCGGCCCAUUUUGGCGGGGCCGGUCCGGUUUUCUCUUUAUUUUUCUUUUAGCCCUUUUGUUUUUUCUGUUUUUCCUAUUUCUUUGAUAUCUUUUGAUUUUUACUCCAAAUUGGUCCAAAUAAAUUCUAGAAAAUUUCUAAAAUCAUGUUCUAUCAUGAUUCAACUUUUGGGAGUAAUUUCCCUUCAAAAUAAAAUACCUAAAAAUACAUUUUCCCUAUAAAUGCCUUUAGGGCUAUAUAACUAUUUAAAUAAAAUAGUUUUUCAACUCCAAAUAAUUGUCCAAAAAUUAUGGAAUAGCUCAUUUAUGCAAUAAACCCCUUUUAUAAAUAAACCUUAUUGGUUUAAAGAUUCAAAGCUCAAAUGGGUGUAAACCCUAGGGUUUAAAUUGAAAUAAAAACUUUUAAAGCCUUUUGAGAUUCAAAUUUGAAUUCAAACGUGCAAUUGUGGCAUGAUGCUUAUGAAUGCAAUGCAUAUGAAAGGAUUUGAAAUUUUGGGAUGUUACAGUCAAUGUCGCCAAGAGCUGCAGGACGUGGCCGCCGAAAAGAGUCGUCUUCAGGAACGUAUAGACUCCCGUAUUUCCGCAGAGAAAGAGCGGGAGAAGGUUUGGAUCGAGCGACUCGAAAGUGCUACUCACUCAGUUGCUGGUGAGCGCUUGAACCUGUUAUUCGAGUGGCUUUUCCUUCUCGUGGAAAAUUUUGACCGUUUCUCUGUCCUUUUGCAGGAGUCCUUGAUGCUUCCGCAUAGGUCCAAUUCAAAGAGAGAAGCCGAAGCUUCAAUGAUGUUUUAGAAAAUGUUGAAGUCAUCAAUGAUGAAGCCAAGGGCAAGCUCCGGCAAGCGACAAAGAUUCUGACCACCGUAAUCAGGAAGAUGACUCCUGAUGGGUCAGUGCCGGAGUCGCUGAAUGGGCUUAUUGAAUUUUUUGCAGCGAGUCAUGACCCGGUAGGGGAGUACUACUGAUGCUGAGCUAUUCUUUACGCUUGCUCUUGCGCAUGGCAUUGAGGAAGACGCUCUCCAUCGAGUAACCUCUCGAUCGAGAGCAGGUGACUCGGUCAACCUAGGGCCCCUUAUGGGAAAGGGCAAAGAGCUGGCUGAGAUCUCGUUGCGGCAGCCACGUAGAUCAAUUGAGGAGAUGAACCUAGCUUCAUCCAGCGGCCCAGAGGUGGGUGAUCUUUCACUAGAUAUAUUUGAUUCUCUUUCUCCUUUGUGAAUCUUCUUCUUCUGUUCUUAUACCUUUGUAAAGAACUGCUCUAGCUGAGCCCUUUUUGGAAAGAAAUCAAAAAAUCUUUAUUUCCAUCCCGAAAGGGGUUCUUCAGGAUAAAUGCUGAGGUAACUUGUGUCUUUUCCGCGCAGAGGGAAAAAGGACCAUCGAGUCACUCGAUUCCAGGUGCAGCGGCAACCUCUCGCAACGAUGCUCCAGCCGAUCCUAGCGGAAAAGGUCAGGCUGGGUCGGCUUUGUGCCCAGAGCAGUUACGAGAAAUUGAGGCUCGAUUCACUAAAUUGAAGCGUGACACGCUGGGUGACGCUCAGAGUAGCAAAUCUAGCCUGAAAGCUGCGACCAACCGGGAAGAGUUUGUCUUUGGAGAGCUUCGCAGCCUGAGCAGCCAAAUCCAAGGUAAGGAUCGCAAGACUUUGCCUUUCGAGUCGGUCUGCAAAGUGAUCUUACCGUCUUCUGUGCAGUUGUUCGCUUUGACCCUGACGAUGAAAAGGCCAAAGUGAAUACCGCCAUUCAAGCUCGCAGAGUGCAUGAUCCAUCAUCCUUUUCGCUGGAUCAGUCAAGGAGCUACGACUUGAUGCUGUUGAUCGAGCGGAUCAAGCAGGUCAAAAGGUACUUGACCUCCUGCCGUGACAUGCUAGCUUCGACACAUCUGGCCUUAUGGCCACAGGAGAAGGUGCCUCGUAAACCGGGCAGCCUGAUGGUGAAGUUUCACGACGAGGAGAAGAUGAAGGAGCUGGUUCGACUCUAGCUGGUGAGGGGUGCCCAGAUUGCCCUCGCAUUUGUGCGAGUCAACUGCCCAGAGUUGGAUUUCUGGCAAAUUGCUACAUUGCCAGUUACUCUCACCCAGGGUAUAAAGUCAUUCCUGGAGGCUGGGCAGGCGGCGGCGCUGUAGAUGAUCCAGCAAUGGGAGGCAGCUGAGGAGGAGACCCUGCCUGUCGUAGGUAGUCAUGUAGUUUUUUUCCUCUCUUUUUUUGUAACGACUAGUCUACCGGGUGCGCGAUCAGCGCUCCCGGUGGGAGUAGCCCCCGAGUGCGGUUGCAACUGUGUGUAGUGGCGACCGGACUCAAGGUUGUAAUGUGAUAUCCUUGAGCAAUGUUGCACCCCUUCUUUUUUUGGAAUGGAGCGCCCUGACUUGCCAAUUAGCGCCGAGUCGAAUUCCGACUUGUGGAAGUCGAAUUUGAGUCGGAUUUGAAGUACUCCUGGUGGGAGUGCCUCGCAGUCGAAUAUAAAUAGCCGAGUGCAGACUCGAACGUACUAGCCAGCGCAAGGGAUUUGUCCUGCUGAUUAGCACUUGGGCCUUGGAAGAAGAUAUGGAUUCCUCCGAUGCACUCGAGGUUAUGCAUAUCCGUUUGGGACAUGUGAGGAAUACCACCUCGCGCAGGCAUGGGAGGAGAUUUCCUUGCUCAAGUCGGAGAAUCGGGCCGCAUCGGGUCGAGAGGAUUUAAUUUCCUCAGGGAAAAUGUGAAGGUUGAAGCUGAAUGUGUAAAGAGUCGUCUUGAUGCUUUAGCACGAUCUGGUUCGGAGAACCCAUCCUUCUAGUCAAAACCGCGACAAGGGUUAUGCCCUUGCGCUUCUGCAAGAUCGAGUUGCAAGAGCAGUGAUCUGCCUGAAGUCCUGCAGUCACUGUUUGACAGAGGUUCACCAUAACUUGUUUCCGGAGCUUCGUGUCCCUGUUGACCUGAAGGGAUUAAUCGAGAGAUUUUGUGAAGGAGCAGUAGUGAGGGGGGCUACUCAUGAACAAUUGGUGGAGGGUGUUGUGCUGGCUCUCUCGUUUGUUCGUUUUCGCUACCCCUCAUUGAAUCUGGACUCCCUGCAUUUGACUCCCUCUUACAUUCCAGACGAUGCUCAGCUUGGACCGAUUUACGACAUGAUGGAGAACACGACAUGUCAGCUGGUGACUCUUAUGGCCUUGGAGUAGAGUAGGCUUUGAUACUCGUUUAAAUAUGUAGGCGUAGUUGUCUGAGUAGUAUUUUUACCGGGUGCGCGACCAGCGCUCCCGGUGGGAGUAGCCCUCGGGUCUGUGCAUGACUGGUUUGCAGUCAUGUGGAGACCCAAAUACUUUGAAAUCUUUUGUAAUUGAAAACUGUUAGCAUCGUUGAAGAUGCCGCACCUUCUUGUUCUGUACUUCCAUUGAUCUUGUAUGAGAAAACAUUAUGAUUCCAAUUUUGCUUGCUUGGAAACUGCCGACCAUUGAAUGAUUGUGCUGAUGUUUGUUUACGCGAUAGCCCGUGAAUGCCGGCUGCAUACAACGAGAGUUUUUUAAAGUCGAUUGAACGCAGCCUCCGAGCGUGGGGUGCGACCAAUGACAAUGUCUGCGGUCGACGGGACACAGCCCCCGAGUGUCGAGUGUGUCCAAUGAUAAGUUUGGGUCGAUUGGACGCAGCCCCCGAGUGUCGGGUGCGUCCAAUGACAGUUUAGGUCGAUUGGACGCAGUCCCCGAGUGUCGGGUACGUCCAAUGACAAGUUUGGGUCGAUUGGACGUGUAACAUACCGGUUCUCGGCAUUUCCAAAAUCUAUUUCCUAAAAAUGACUACUUGAAAAUUUCGCUGAAUUAAACAAAGCUUAACUGGAAAUUUCUUGAAUCUUUGGUUCUAAAUUGAAUUUACACCGACUAAAUAUGAAUUUGAUUUAUACACUUUCUCAUUUGGUUUGCUUAUAUUUUAUUUGGAUUCUCCAUGUUCAAAUAUGCACUUUUAAAUCUCUCUGGAAUUCAUCUCGAAGUUGAUUUGAUGUUUGAGAAGUUCAUUCGAUCUCUUAGCUUCUGUAAAAAUAAAAAAGCAUUUCCUCUUUCUUUUUAGCUUUGGCUGAAAUCCCCAGCCGCAACCCAUCUUCCUUCUCUCUCCCGUAGCCCACUUCUGGCCGAACUGCUCCAGACUACCGUGCCUUGCUUCUAUUUUCUCCCGCGUGUGUUUAAUCUCCAGAGGACGAAGGAGA
rnacentral:lncRNA from 1 species